rnacentral:lncRNA from 1 species
UGAAGCUUGCAGUAUUGUUUACAAAGAUUCACGUCACAAUGUCGACCUUGAGGAUCCUCCACAAGAGGACGACUCGUAAUACGUGGACAAGCUGCUGUGCAACGACACGGACCAGAUAGUCCUGCGCAGCAUGCUGGCUUACCAAAAAGUGAGCAAUAUUUUCUACAAAGAUCCCAGUUACAUCGUUUAGCAUCCACCACAAGAGGACCGCUCAUAUCUGUUUAAAACAAGGAAAGAGUAUACACAAACACAGUUUAAUAUAUAAUACAGUCCAAAGUAAACAAAUACGAAUGCUUUGCUAGCUUGCUAUGAAAAUUAAAGUUGUUCUGAUUAUUUCAAAUUUGGUAAAUUAACAUGUAUAUAGUAUGUAACAAGCUAUGGAGUUGAAUAAAUUACGAACCAGUGGACUGGGAGACCAACAGCAGGAGGGACACUAUUGCAAAUGACCUCACAGAGAACUCCAUAAUUGAGAAAGAGAGAGAGAUAAUAGGAAGCUUUAGUGAAAUGUGAGUGAAAGACUCCCUGCUUAUAUCUCUUUAUAUAAUGUUUUAAGUGUGCUACCAAAAUUGUUAUAAAAUGUUGGAAAAAUGCUUGUUGUACAUCAUCAUAUUUACAUAAUUUUUUACAGAUUGAUGAUGAGUCAACAAGAAACUGUGGAAUUUUUAAAUUUUUUUUUUUAGUUGAAAGAUUUUGACCCAAUCAAAUCUCGUCGCAUCAUUUGUCUGUAAACAAAUAUGUAAGUUGCGAUAUAUCUAUAGCACAAACAUUUACGUAAAACACAACUUCUUUUAGUGGAGGGUUUGCACAAGAUGUUGACACGUGGACUUGUUGAGGCUUUUAAAUUUGCUUCUGGAUAACUUUGCAUGUGAGUUUCGAGAGAAACUGCUACAGUUUCUUGGUCUCCUUCUUCUUCCUGAAAACCUCACUCGAGAUUCCUAAUAUCCUGCUCCAUCUUUCUGAUUUUCGAUUUCUUACUUGGUGAAGAUGAAUAAGAACUGAGUGUUCUUUGAUUUGUUUUGUUCUAAAAGGGUACUGAUUAGGAUUUGUGGUGUUAUCAGGAAUAGUAAACUUUUUGGAUACUAAAAAAAUAAGUCUCCAUAACUUUAUCUUUUGUAAUUUGAACAUUUUGUAUCAUGAAUAUCAUUUUGAGACUGUUCUACUGUAGGGCAUUAUUCACUUCUGUGGAUGCUUAACAAGGUAAUAGAUAUUGAUGGAAAUCUAAGCAUGUUGAUACAAAGUGUAAGAUUAGGAGAAUGGAAUAAGGAGCGAUAUGCGUUAGAAAGAUGUGUUUUAAGGUGAAUAUGAAGUACUAUUUUAGUAUGGUGUUUUGUAUCAUACCACUUUAGAAAAAUAUAUAUAUAUUGAAAAUAUAUUUUGUAUAAAUAAUCUUUAAUCAUAAUUUUAUUGACAAUAAUUUUAUGUACAAAUACUUUUUUAAUCAGAAAUAAAAAAAAUUUUCACUUAUAAUUAAUUUUUGACUUCUAUGUCAUUAUUUUAUUAUAAGUAAUUGUAUUUUUGUACUUUGAAGUGAAUUUUUUUACUUUUAUCCAAAGACUUUAUCUAUAAGUGAAUUAUUUUUCUCAUCGUAGAUUUUACUUGUUAACGUAAUUAUGCAUAAAUUUUUACUUAUUAGUAAAGUUUUACUGACUACAAAUUAUUUAACAUAAAAGUGGGUGUUUUACAAAAAGGUUAAUUUUUUACUUACGACUGAAUAAUUUUUUAGUUAAUUUUUACUUGUAUAAAAGGUCUUUUCAUGCCAUUGUAUGAUUGAGACAGAUGUAAAAUUUCCAACCACGUGUUAUACAAAUUUUAGAUUAAAUAUUAAGAAUAAAAAUGGUCAUCAUGUCUUUUGUCCAAAUCGAAACACAAAAAUAACGUGAACUAAAUUUAGUAACUAACGAGUAGAUACAAUAGUUUGAAAGGUCUUUUUCAUAUCAUUGCAUAAUUGCGACAAUGUAAAAAUUUUCUAAGCACAUUUUUAUAUCAAAGAGUAUUCUAUAUUAUUUAAAUCGAAUUCGAUAUUUUCUAGAAUUAUUUAUAGUAAUUGCUCCUCCAUAAUUUUUUUCCAAAUCUAAACACGACAUUACGAGUGUACCAAAAUUUUAAUAGGUGAAAUUUGAAGGAUCUAAAUGGGUUGCUCAAAAAGUCAAAGGACUGAAUUGAAGAUGUUGAAAACUUUGAGGACCAGGGAUGAAAAUACCUUGCGAAUGGUGGGUAGGAGGAGUGAAUGUUUCAUAGAACCUGUCAUGUCAUGCCUUGCUGCCCAAUUUCCUAGUGCGAGUUGGAAACAUAAUUUUUAAGGUCUGCGGGUAUUCCAAUCACAUUUUUUUUUCUUUUGCACAUUUUAAAACUUAUUUAAAUAGGACUUCGUAAUAGAUUGGAUGGAUGUAUUCAACUUUUUUCAUCUCCCUAUCAUUAAAACUUUAUAUUUUUAUUAUUGAUUGUGUCCACCUUAACACAGCUAUCUGCAUCAUGUCAAUUCAAAGUUGCUCAUUUUUUGUUAAAUUCUUGUUAUUUCUGUGGUUUGGUUAUUAUUUUAUUUUGAUGAUUGUUCAACAAUAAAACGUGUUUGUGAUUUAUAUUGUUUUCUAGAGGUUUGAUAUAAAUUAGCUCAUGGUAAUAAGCAACAUAGGGUAUGCUAGUUGAUAGAAAAAUCAGCACAUCCUCUGAAAUCGAAUGAGAUGAUCUUUGUGAAUAAUGAAUGCUUAUGUGUUCAAAAUUUAACUAAAAUUAAAUAGGUUCACAUAUGAGCUUGGAAUUGAUUGACCUUGAUAGAGGCUUUUUGAUUAAAACUGGAUCAUUGAUUUUCAAUUUAGGCAAGAAUCAGCAAUUGAAUGGUAAUUAAGAAGUGAAUUAGGAUUUGAACGGUAGAUUGUUGAUCUUGGGCUUUGCUUGGUAAUUUUACACUAAGAUCUUAAUAUGUGUUGGGCUUUUGAUACCCAAUAAAUCCCGGACUAUGAUGUUAACGAGGGUUCAUAUUAUUUCAUAGGCAUAGGUCGAUGAAUGAAAUAAGUCCAACAACCAAGUCUAUGAGUUACACUCGGCCCAAUUAUAUUUCCUCUUGGAUGACUUGAAUCUUGGACCGUUUACCUUUUUAAAGGUCCAACUUAAAGCCUAACCCUAGAGUAUAUAUAUGACUACAACCCUAGCCACUUUCUUGUGUUGCCCCCUUUGUGUGUGAAAAAACGCUUCUAGAAAUGUCCAAAACGCUUGUUUAACGUGUGCAAUUGGUGGUUCCUUCAUAGUAUAUUUUUAUGGUGUCUUCUCCUAACCUUUGUGGCCACAAAUCAUCAUCUUUUUUUGUCCUAUGUGGGUAAGAUUGAAUAGAAACCGAGGAGAAUUAAUUGGUUGUGGUUUGGAGCUGAUUGGACUGAUUGUUGGUUGAGAAAUGUGCGUUGGAUUAAGCCCGGAAAUCACCGAUUUGAAAAUCUUUCAAGAGAGUUUCCGCAACAUUUGGUAUCAGAGUUUCAAAGUGGUGGUUUUGGCUCUUGAAAUUUAGCAAAAAAAAUCGUCCAAAAAUUGGUAGAAUCAAACAAGAAAUUAGAUCGAAAAAACUGUCAAAAUUAGUUUCCAUUUUUUGCAUUUUUUGUUCAAUUCAGAAGGAGUUUUGGGAAACAGAGAUCAUUGGCAUAACGUGCAGGUAGAGUAGAACCCUACAGGGUGGCGCGUGUCAGAGAUGGUAGGGCGUGGCAUCAGCGCGUGAAGACCACGUGCAGAGAGAGUGAUGGCGCAUGCGGCACGUGGAGCAUUUUUUGGCGACGGUCUCUUCAGGCAGUUUGUUCCUUAUAUUAUUUUUGACAUUUUUUGUGUUGAAAUUUUUUGUUUCAGGACCUGUAGAAAAAUCUGGACAGUGUUGUUCUUCAGGCAUUCGGGACUGGAUCGUGAUUUUUUGGUUGCUGCAGUUUCUAGAGAUUUUAGGAUGAAUAGUGGUGGUCCUAUAGUGAUAAAUUCGCAACUCUCGUAAUUUACGGACUCGAGCAGGUCCGCUCUGGUAUAUUGGCUUAACUUAGUUUAAAUUUCAACAUUAGCAAAUUAUCGUGUGGGGUGAUCGUUAGGAUUGGGGAUUGUCAUUGCUUGACAAUCAUUGCUUGUGCUAGAAAAUUUAGGAAUUAUUUGCUCUAUUUUUGAAGUGUUGAGCUUUGAUUACAUGUUGGUAGUUGAUUUUGUGCUUAUCUAUCAUAUAAUCACUGUGUGAGACUUGUUGCGUGAAAAUUUGAAUUUUAUGUUUAUACACCUUCGUGCUUGCAUUAAUUAUCCCAUUAGAACUUCAAACAUUCCCUUGAUCUAAGAUCGGAAUCUUAUGAAACCCUGAGAAUCUAGAACGAUGUAUGUUGUGACUUUAGGAUUACUUUGUGUGAUCUAUUUGUGACUUGGUUGUUCUGUUUUUUUAUUUUCUCCUUAAAAAUGUCUUCAUACUUUGAAGUUGAAAUUUUUAAUGGGAAAUGAGAUUUUUCAAUUUGGCAACUAAAGAUAAAAAGUACUUUGGUUCAACAAAAAGUUUCAAAGGCCAUAGAUGGGAAAUUUCCUGGAAAUUUAACGGAAGCACAAAAAGAAGAGUAUGAUAAACUUGCAUACACUUCAAUUAUUUUACACCUGUCCAAGACUGUUUUGAGAAAAGUAGGAAAACUGGAUUCUACAAAACAACUUUGGGAAAAGUUGGAGGACUUAUAUUUGCUUAAGUCUACUCCAAAUAAACUGUACAUGCUUGAAUGAUUUUUCAGCUUUAAAAUGGAUCCUUCAAAGGAUCUUGAUGACAAUCUAGAUGUCUUUAACAAGUUAGUUCAAGACAUCGUUAAUUGUGAUGAAAAGAUAUCUGAAACGUAUAAGGCUAUUAUCCUAUUUAAUUCCAUGUCUGAUUCAUAUAGUUAAGAAUGCAAUUAAGUACGGUAGGGACACCUUAACACUUGAGAUUGUCAUAAACUCGCUUAGGAGUAAGGAGAUGGAUAUUAAGUCUGAAAAAGAGGAUAAGAUGAAUGGUGAGUUACAUAUUAUGAGGAGUAGGAUGAAGUUUAAGCAAAUUAAUUUAGGUAGAGCUCAAAAUAGUGAUGAUUUGAGUAGUGAGUCGAGUGAUGAAGGUGGUAAGAUGAAGGGCAAGGGACAGGACAAAUCUAUUGGUAGAAGGUGUUACAGCUGUAGUAAGUCUAGACACUUUAUUAGGGAUUGUCCCAAAAAGAAGGAUAAAUUGAAGGGUAAGAUGAGAGGUGAGAUGAAUUUGGUUGAGGGGUCGAGUUAUGACCCUAGUGAGAUUUAUUGAGAGUAGACCUAGUUACUGUAUAUGCAUCUGUGUGUGAUCAUUUCUGUAUAUGUGUGAUUGUCUAAAUUUUGUUGCAUGAUUAUCUGCUACAUUUCAAUGUGUUUUAUAUGUGCAUUUGCAUGAAUUUGAGACAAUAUGAUUACUUGGUGUAAUUGUUUGAAUGCAUAGUGGGUUAUGAUGCAUUAGCAGUGUGUUAAAUUUUUUUUGGUAUGGUAGAGUGUAGAUGUCUAGCGGUACAUUGUGGUUUGUACCGGGGAUGUAGAGUGUGACAUUUGGAUCACGAGUGGAGAUGUGAUCAAAUGUCUAGGAUCAUUUAUCUGUAAAGAGACCCUAAUCAGGUAGAGUGUGAGAGAGACACUUCUAUCACUUUUGUUAGGUGGAGACCUAUUAUCCACGUAGGUUGGGAGAAGUGAUGUAGAGAUAGAGAAUUAUCUCAUGGACUUAGGAUCUAUUGUGACUUGCUGAUUUGACAUGAGUUGAGUGAUCUGUUUAGUGAGCAUGUUGGGCAAUGAGAGGAGAUAUGUGUUCUCGAGGUGUGAGUAAUACGGAAUGGGAUAGGAUAAGUGUGAUGAGAUCUUUUCGUAGGGUCAUUUAUGCAUGUAUUGCAUAUGUGGUUGACCGUGGUUUGAUUGACUUGGUGUUAAUCUAUGGUUCUAUGUAAACGUGUUUCUGAAAAGAUCUAUGUAUGUUAUCUUAUAGUAUAUCAUUAUCACAUGUGUAUUUGCUUUUGAUUGUUUAUUGUUAAAUAUUUGCUUCUACUUGGGGUUUUUUUACCUUAGCCCCAUCGAGUACAUGGAGCAGGUAUGAUAUGUGUUUCAAGUUAGAAACAUGAGGUAAGGUUUGUGAUCCAAUUUUAUUGGCUACCUUGAUUAUGCGAGUGCUAAUUGUGUGUUUUGAUUGCUUAUAAAUUUAUUAGGCAUCAAGGUGGAGAUUUAUUGGGUUUUUGAUACCCAAUAAAUCCAGGACUAUGAUGUUAACGUGGGUUAAUAUUAUUUCAUAGGUAUAGGCCGAUGUAUGAAAUAAGUUCAACAACCAAGUCCAUGAAUUACACUCGGCCCAAUUAUAUGUCCUCUUAGAUGACUUGAAUCUUGGCCCGUUUACCUCUUUAAAGAUCCAAUUUAAAGCCUAACACUAUAGUAUAUAUAUGGCUAUAACCCUAGCCACUUUUUUGUGAUGUUUUGUGUGGUUUUGAGAGAAAAAUAUAAGAAUCCCGGCUGUCCCCUUUGUGUGUGAAAAAAGGCCUCUAGAAGUGUCCAAAACGCUUAUUUAAUGUGUGCAAUUGGUGGUUCCUUCAUAAUAUAUGUUUGUGAUGUCUUCUCCUAGCUUUUGUGGCCACAAAUCAUCAUCUUUUCUUGUUCUAUAUGGGUAAGAUUGAAUAGCAAUUGAGGAUAAUUAAUUGGUUGUGGUUUGAAGCCAAUUGGACUGAUUGUUGAUUGAGAAAUGUGCGUUGGAAUGAGCCCAAAAAUUACUGAUUUGAAGAUCUUUCAAGAGAGUUUCCGCAACAAUAUACUCUCAAAUCACGAAGUUAAGCUGUUAUUUCAGGGAAAAAUUUUCAUAACCUAAAAUAUUAAUCGUGUGUUUUUUUAAAUUUAGUUUUAAUUAAAGUAGAGUCUAUAAUUAAUCUUCAUGGGACUAGACUUGACUUAUCAUUAUAUUACUUGUGUACGAUCCAUCAUCUUUUAGGAUAUAUAUUGCAACACUUGAUGAUACCUCUUAAUGUAAGAGUUUAGUUUUCAUGUUGUUGUUUGUCUAUCAUGAUGAUGUGGAUUGAUUUUUCAAAUUGCAAAUUCUUCUAAAUUAUAAUGACGAGCCAACUAUAUAUAGGGGACAUCCGAAACUUAAUAGUAGAGUUAUGGUUGAAGUAGAAUUCAAGAAAUAACAUUAAAAAUGGAAUAGGAAACAAAACAGGGCCUACUCACUGUCUAUGUACUGGGAUACUGACUCCGUGUUUCAAUAUAAAGUUGUAGGCCUCUAGGCUCCUCGUCUCCAUUCCCAACAACUUUUUAAGAUGUUUUCUUCAUUCCAAAGUCCUCUUCAAGAAAAACACAAAUUUCAACUCUCGAUUAGAUUUCUAAAUAGAACUUUAACUAAAAUUCGUCAAAUUGACUUCGAAUAGGAUUCCCAAAACAAUUCCAAAUAGAAUUUCUCUUAACGUGCAUUUUAAUUAAAAUUGUAAUUAUUUUCAAUGAAAAAUUCUAGUCAUAUCCAAAUUCCAACAAUCUCUAUCUUGACACGAAUUUCAUCACAAUGAGUAAUCUUUAAAAAAUCUCCACUUGAAUACAAAUUCCACUACAAGGAUUAAACUUAAACUCUUUAAAAAAAAAUGGCAUUUUCCAUAAAAAAGUUUCCAACUGGAAAUAUUCUCCAUCUCUGCUAUCCCAACUAAACGAAUUCUAAUGAUCUCCAAACAGGAUUGAAAUAAAACCCUAUAAUAGAAUUACAACUAAAUGCAUUAAAAGAAUGAUCUUGGCUAGAAUCAAUAUCUUUAACAGCAUUCAAACAAUAAACUAAGUCAGCAGAAUUUUACCUAUGUGGAGUCUUAAGGCGUCAACUGAAUAUAAUGACACCACAGACAAUAGUUGUAAGAUGAAUUUACAAUUAAUUUCUAAAUUCAAUUGAGAUGUAUUCUUUAAAGAAGAUACCAUAUUAGAGCCUAACGGUAAUGAAUCCUACUCCAAAUCCACUUGAGUUCUUAAAAUAUGUUGUAUAACACUACAAGAUAUAUAAAUGGGACUUUCUAUGUCCCUUUAACAAAGCAUGGGCUCCUUUACUAACUUUUAGGACUCCACCUUCAACAAUGCACCUGUACUCCUAUUGAAUCAAGAGUGCUUAAGGAGAUAACAUUUCUCUUUAGGUCUGGAACGUGUCUUACUGCAUCAAGUGUUCUAACGAUCCCAUCGAACAACGCUAUUCUAAUCAAUCAAUAUCAACUACCUAACAACGUGUAUUAUUACUAAUCAUCACAAUACCUUUUGAAAUUACUUCAUAUGUUGAAAAUAAAUCCUAAAUGGGACACAUAUAUAAUCGGUAUCAAGAAUUUAAGUCUCGUCAAGUUUGGAGUUGUAAUUAAAUACAAGUAAAAGCUCUCAGCACUCUUAGAAUUUUCUAAAAGAUUUACUUCCCCUUAAGUUUUUGAUUAUUGAUUUGUAGUCAAUUUUACUUUAUUCUGCGAUUUAUAACAAUCGUUUAUCUAGAGCCCAUUUUUCUUGCAGUAAUUACAAAUUUGUAAGAUUUUGACUUGCCCCUUGCAUGAUUACUUUCAAUAAUGAAGCCAUCUCCAUAAACCUCAGAUGAAAUAAGAUGCUUUAUCUUCUUCUUUGAAUAUAGAGUAUCAUAUACUUCUUCGAUGGUGAAAUUUUACGACUAUAUAAAAUCGUAUCUUUAAAAGACAUGUAUGAAGUAGGCAAAUGAACACAAUAAAAUCAAUCAAAAAUCUUCUUAAUCAUAUUUGACCUCAAGGUCUCCAAAUUAGUGAAGAUUUCCUUAAAAAUGACAAAGUGAUCCUUAAGAGAUGAAACUUCUCUCAUAUUAUGAGAAUAUAGACAUUAUUUUUUAUGUAAUUUGCUAGUAAGUCUCUUAAAAAUGUAUACUUGCUCAAAUUUUAACCAAAAUGCAAUGGCUAACUUCUUCUUCAAAACAUUUUGAAGAAUAUUAUUUGAGAGAUAAAUAUAUAAUUUAGAUAGGGCCUUUUGAUCCCUCCACUGUUUUACCUUCAGAGUUGAAGUUGUGGGCAUCUUAUCAAAUCCCAGUAAUGCAUCGUCCAAAUCCAUCUGAGCAAGUACCGCUCACAUCUUUACAUGCCACAAAGAGAAUUUUAUAUUGCAAUCUAAUAGCAUAAUAUCAUACUUCACAGUUGCCAUCACAAAAAGAUCAGGUUGAGCUAUUAACAUGAUCAAAACCUUGAUCUUCCCAAAAAUUUGAAUACCAAGAGCUUUGUACCAAUUUUUUAUAUAGAAAAUUGAAAUUGGAUUAAUCCAAUACCAAUUUGUUGGAGAAAAUACAAGAUUAUAGGCACAACAUGAAAUAAAAUAACACCAUAACAAUGUAACUUGGAGAGAAUGAAGAUUUUAUUAUAAUAUGAAGAAAGAAUACAAAGAAGGAUGAGUCAAAGUUCUAUCAUUAGUAUUUUAAAUUUUUAAGGACCAUAAGUUUCGGUCACUACAAAGUAAAUUUUCAAAUUGUUGCACAAUAAUUCCAAUGUAAAUUAUGUUGCUUGUUCAACUAUUUUGACAAUGUGUAAGUUGACAGGGAUCCUAAUCAUUUAUUUGAAAAAUUAAUUUUCAAAUUAAUGAUCAAGAUCUUUACACCCCACACUGUCACACUAGUCACACAAAUUCAUUAUACAACUAGCUUAAUUUAUCAUUUUGAGUAAUGUUAGUUCAUAGUUGUAAAUAACAAGAUAUAUUAAUAGAGAUAUUUUAAAAAAAUUAAAACAUUAAUUAUACUUUCAACAAGGAAAGAGACCUAUAAUUUGGGAUUGUUAUUUAGAAAAAUGGAACCAGAUUAAUCCAAUACCAAUUUGUGGGAGAAACUAUGAGAUUAUAAACAGAAUAUGAAGGAACAUGAUGAAAAGUUUAGAUGUAGCCCAUUUAUUUUGACUCAAUGAGUAGAAUCAUACAAUUAAAAUGUGACGUGUGAAACCCUAAUUUGCUUUUUCAAGAGUUUUAUCCGACCAAUGAUACGUAAUUGCCUUUUACUAUAUAUACCAAACCCUAAACACGAAAUUUAGGUGAUUGAUCUUACUAUUUAUUCAUAACAUCCUUUUGAGAGAAAAAUAAUGGCUCUUCAUCUUUUACAUCCUGAGAUUCAUCAACCACAAUUUGGAAAAAAAUCAAGAUCACAUAAUCCAAAACACCCAUUACUUAUACACAUAUAGAAAGGUAUUUUUUCAAUAGCUUUCAGAGGUUGCUGAAAACUGAGAGAAGUUGGACCAAAAGCACAGGAAGAGUACAAGAACAAGGAAUCCUUGGUGAUCCACAAGAGAUAAACAAUUCUAGAAGAUCGAGAACAGGUGUGAGUGAAGCACUUUUUAACAGGUCUUAGAAAUUGCAGAAAGUAGAUCAAUGAGUCAAGUAAAAAUUUCUAGACUAGAUCGUACUAUAAGUUCAUUAUUAUCCAUAGUUUAGGUUAUUGAUUUGGUUUUGAAGUUUUAUCUACUUGAGUUUUCUUUGUCAACAUAUUUUGUGUUGUUUAUUGCUUUCAUAUCGUUGAUUGUGGCAUUCAAACCAUAUGAUAAUCUGACAUGAUUGAUUAACCAUCUAAAAAUAAUUAAAAAGUGAUUUAUUGCUUUUAAUUGUAUAAUUCCACACUUUGGGUCAAAAUAAAUUAGCUAAUUCUAAACUUUCACAUGAGAACAAUGAAUAGAUAAUGGAGAAAGAAUACUAAGAUUUUGUAUUUAAAAUGUUUUAACUCCUCCAUUAAUUAUAUUGAUGAGCUAACUAUACAUAGGGAACAAAUUAGAAAUUUCAAAACCAAAUAGUAGAGUUACACUAUUGCCGGCACCCUGGUGCCCAAUGCCGACUCCUUGUUUCGAUAUAAUGUUAUUAGGGCCUAGGCACCCCGUCUCCAUCCCAAACACUUUUCUUCAUUCCAAUGUCCUCUUUGUUAAAAGUUCUAGAGUAAUUUGUAAUCUUCAUCUAGUCGAAAUCCAAAUUGGAAACUUCAACAACAAAAGAAGAUUGAAAGAGUUCAAAUCCAAAUUGAGUACUUCAACCAACAAAGGCUUUAUUCAUCGAAUGGUCAAAGGAUAAAAUUUUCAAUUCAAGUUGUAUACUCAACUUGUACAAGCUAGAAAUUAACAUAGACAGCAAUCAAUUCACAUUCUAUUCAGCAAUCUGGAAAUUAGGCAGCAGCCAUUUGACACUUAUGAUGUUCAAACACAGCUGCAAAUACAUAUAUUCCAGCUAUAAAUGAUGAAGAAAAAAUAGCUUUUACCUAGUUGUAAUUAUAGAGAAUUAGUAAUACUACUUUAUUCAAUGUUUUUUUAUAAAUAGGAAGGUAUCCAUCUAGUGUUAUGUAUGUAGAAGAAGUGAGAAAAAUCUCUCAAAAAAAUAAAGAAAGAGUGUGUUGUAGCAACGUCAUUUGUGAUUCCUUAAAUUUCAUAAGAAAAAUUUCAUAUUUCUCUUAUCUAUUUCCUUCUACACCCAACACUCUUAAAGUCUAUCACAAAUUCCAAUUUCCAAUUGGACUUCCUAAUAGAAUUUCAACUAGAAUUCGCCAAAUAAAUUUCAAAUAGGAUUCCAAAUAAUCAUUCUAAAUAGAAUUUUUCUUAACCUGCACUUUGAUUAGAGUUCUCAAUUAUCUUCAAAAAAGAAUUCCGGUCAAACUCAAAUUCUAACAAGACAAACAAAAAAGGAAAGUAAAACUAUAUUUGUGGGACGGACAAAGAUUAUAUUUCAUUUAAUUUUGACUAAAUUUAAAAUAAGACAAUUUUAAUGUGUCCGAGACAAAAAUCUUAGGGCCAUGGGACCAUUAAUCAAUUUCCCUUGGAGCUUACUUUGAAUAAUUAAUAAUUUUACAUACGUAAGUACACAGCUAAGUCAUUGAAAUAAAAUCUAAGUAUGCAAUUAUGAAACUUUUCCUCCAAUUAUGUUACUGAACUUCUGUAUAUUCGCCUAUAUUUUGAUAGACUAAUCCAAAGUUUAUGUCGCACUCAAGCCGGAGAAAAAUUACAUGCUUGCAGCAAAUCCAUUUUAUGAUAUGAGUAAUAAAUUGAAAUUUAAAAAAAAAAGUUAGUAAUAAUUGAAUUUCUAUAAAUAUAUACUCGACAACCUCUAGUACCUUUUACCUUUAAUGUAUAGAAAAACUUAAAUAAAAAUAAAAAAUAAAAAAUAAACUAAAACUAAAACACAAAAUGAACAAGGCUUGUUAACUACCAAAUGGAAAAUUUAUGCUCUUAGUCGUACUUUUGAGUACAUAAUAUAGCCCAAAAAAAAUUUGCAUAUAAUGUUUUGAGACUAAUAUCAUAUAGCUAGAAGAAUUAGAUGAAAAUAAUGAUAUCUUCCAUUCUUGCAUUACUAGGUCUUUAAAUUGAAUUAAAAAAUUGAAAUUAAAAAAAAAGAGUAAUAAUUGAAUUUCUGUAAAUAUAUACUCGACGACCUCCAGUACCUUUUACCUUUAAUGUAUAGAAAAACUUAAAUAAAAUAAAAAUGAAAAUAAUAAAAAAAACUAAAACUAAAACACAAAAUGAACAAGGCUUGUUAACUGCCAAAUGGAAAGUUUAUGCUCUUAGUCGUACUUUUGAGUACAUAAUAUAGCCAAAAAAAAAUUGUAUAUAAUGUUUUGAGACUAAUAUCAUAUAGCUGGAAGAAAUUAGACGAAAAUAAUGAUAUCUUGCAUUACUAGGUUUUAUUUUCAUGAAAAUGUCAUAACAUUGCUAAAAUCGCUUUCCUCUUUAACCAUCUUUGUCCCUGCCACUGAUCAACCUAAGAUUUUUCCUAACCUUGAACCCAAUAAUAAGGGAAUCAUAGAACAGAGGCCUACUAGACAGCGUAGGUUCUACCAACCUAGGAAUAGAAGAAAUCAGCGAAUACAUAACUUUGGUCCUAGGUUUAUCCCUACGUGUUUCAAGCCUGAAGAGUUAAGAUAUAUAAAGUCUAGGUGUCAUAAAUUCCUAACCAAAAAUAGAAUCCUUCAAGUGGUAUCUAGUAAUUUUCAAGUGGUAUCAGAGCUAACUAAAAAUAAUAAUUAGGAUUUUGAUAAUCGAAUUGACUUCCUUAGUAAUUAGGUGAGUCAAUAGACUGAGUUAAUUGUUGAGGUUGUUCCACAUCGGUUGUGAAUGGGGUUGGUAUUGAGUUUUAUAAAUGCCGAGAAAACUUAACCUCUUGAGAUAGCUUUUGGGGUGAAAAAGGCUCAAUACCACCCAACACUAGUAUCAGAGCUCGACUUAUCAACAAGUCUCUAGCCCAACAGUCACAUAGAUAUGGAUUUGUGUGAGGGGGAGAUGGUUUUGGUUUUCCGUAGGCCCUAUUUUAUGAGGGGAAACGGGUUUGGUCUCCCGUAGGGCCUGAUGUGUGGACUAGACAUGUUUGAUUUUCGACAAAGCCUGAUAUGUAAGGGGGAGAUUAUUGAGGUUGUCCCACAUCGGUUGUGGAUGGGGUUGGUAUUCAAUUUAUAAUUGUAAGAAAAUUUCUAACCUCUUGAACUAGCUUUUGGAGUGAGAAAGGCCCAAUACUACCCAACAUUAAUGACAUAAUAAACUAGGAUCAAUUCCUCUACUAGGAAAGUUUGGGUGAAGAAAAGUGAUCUUAAAAAUCUUGAAAUAGAUCACUAUGCUCUUAUAGGUAAGAGCAUUUUUAUGUUUUAGGUUCAUAUAUGUGCUUCUUCAAAUAAUUUCCAUUGGCACAUGCAUAUUUUUUUGUGUUUUUGUGUGUUGAAUUUUUUUAUUUUGUGUGUUAGAUGCAUUCAUGUUAAAAAAAAUGAGGGGAGACGUUUUUAACUAUAGUAUGAUAAAUGAUAUACUUGAGCUUGUGUGUUGUGACCAAGUAUGAGCAUAAUCGAUGUACCGUGGCGUAUUUUCCAAUACUUUGUUUAGAUUUUUAUGAAGUACUUAGUACAGGUUUCUUCAUGUACCAUCUACACUGCACGCACUAUGAUAGUAUGAGUGGAACUUGACCACAUGUGUGAGAUUUGGGAUGUCAGUCGCAUGUUGGUAAAGUGAUCUUGAACAUGAAUUGAUUUUAUUUUAGUUAACCUAAGUCUAAGUAUAUUCCCUUAAAAAUGACUAAAUAUCAUGUGCUCUUCUUUAGAGCUUAUAUAACUCAAGCAAUUAAACAUGCGAGAUUUCUCAUAACCUGGUACCUCUGGUCAACUAACUUGGGUUAACCGGCCUAAAGUUCGUUACAAGGGUCAUCUUAGUCGAUUAAUGUAGAAGAGUCUGCAUAUAAGAUAUGAAAAAUUGAUGAGAAAAAUGACGAGCUUCAAAAUUUAGAAAAUGUGUAGAAAAUAUGUAUGCUCAAAGUCAUGGGGAGAAAAUAAUAAUGUACAUGCAAAAAGAGCUUCUUUAUAGGUCCUAUAUGCACUAAUCUGUUUGACUUUCAUUAGUAGAGGAAUAAACAUAUUGACAGUGAUAUAUAGCAUGUUCUUUCUCCCAAAAUUAAGGUUUGGAAUCAUGCUUACAAAGGACUAGUGACACUUUACACACAUGAGUAACUUAUACAAUUUACUCCAUUUUAGCUUGAACUGAGUAAAGUUUACUAAUCAUUGACUAUGUUUGCACAUGCUAUGAAUUGCAUCUUUGAGUUGAUAUGUAUUAAUGUUCAAUUGUUUUUUUUAUAAAGUUUCCAUCAUCAUUUGUGACAAAAAUGGGGAGAGAGAGUUUUGAUUGUUGGGUGAGUCUGCAGUAAGGGGGAGAGAUGAUCGUAAGAGGGAGUUGAUUGUAUUUUUUGCAUUCAUGGCAUUCUAUAUCAUAAUGCAUAGCUUUUUUGAGUUUUAAUUUUUUGUGAUAUUAAUGUUUCAUUUGGUGCUUUGAUUAGUGAAAUAUCGUAGUUCGACCCAAUCAACACCUAGAGGGAGGUGAAUAGGUGUUUGUGGAAUUUUCUUUUUCAAUCAAUUAAUAAUUGCAACACAUCACAAAUAUUAAUUUGUCCAAAUCAAUUCACAUGCGUUACUAUCCUAUGUUUGAAUACCGGUAAUAAACUAAUAGCAGAAAAGUAAAUAACGCAAUUGUUUGUUGACGGAGAAACCCCAAGGUAGGUAAAACUCUAGGCCCAAGCCAGUAGGAAUCCACUAUAAAUGAAAAUACAACUUACAAUAUGUCAGACUCAACCCAUACUGAUUUUUCUGACCUCCCGACUAUAAUUUCCUCAAAGCCUUCUUGGAAUGCUUGAUCAUGCACCAACUCCCAGCUCCUAGCCCUCCUGAAUUGUGUGCUACACCAAUUCUCGGCUCUUGAUUUCGUCUAUCUCCUGUGGAUUCAAGAGAACUGCCUGUUCUCUAACGAUCGGGACUCUGAUCUCUUUCCUUGAUCUCCAAGAAUCAACAAAAGCAAGAAGGUUGUAUUGUGACGUUUGAUGAAUGUAGAUUUGAUGUUUCUAGAUGAUUGCGUGUAUCAAAUGUGGGAUUAAAUGAAUGAAUCAAGUGUAGAGAGUUUUUCUUUAAUUUCAAUCCUUAUGAGAGACGUAUGAAAAUCAGCGCAAUUUAAUUUAUAUAAAGUGUAUUAGGACAUUUGGGUUAGGUCAAAAUGUCAAAAAAAGGAAAAUAGGGUUUUCUAGGUAAUACCGUCACUCGAGCGAGAAGCAAGUUAAUUAUUGCCUUGUCUUCUUUCAACAUGUUUUCUAAAAUCACAACUCACAUACCCAGUGUAAAAGCACAAGACACAGUAAUAUAAGUUAUCAUAAUAAAGACAAACAGUCAUGCAUAGCCAUAAUAUUGUCCCAAAAUGCUAGAUUAAGAUACAAUAUCAAUGUAAGUCAAAUCACCAAAACAUACAUCAAUAUUUCAAAAACAUCAAAACAUAAUCUAACAAAAAUAGCAAAAUUGCAGUAUCAAUCAUUACAAUAGCAAAAUUGCAGUAUCAAUCAUUACAAUUCCCAAUGCUACUCCCCCUUUUUUUCAUAAAUGGCAAGGGGAACUCUAAGCAACUAAGUAUGACCAUCAUCUCCGCCAUCCACGUCCUCAUAAUCGUCAACCUUAGACUCAUAAUCCCAGUACUCACGCAUCCAUCGAAUACUGUGCUGAACCAGGGCAAUAGCCCCCCGCAAUGUAGCAAACUCCGCAGUAUGACGCUCGGAAGCAGCUCGUAACUGAGUAAUGUCGGCCAUCAUGCAGGCCUAUUGCUCAAUGAGAAUCGACAUUUGAUCCAUAAGCGCGACAGUGGGGUCAAUAGAAGCAGUAGCCGGAGCAGGCGAGGCGGGUGGUGGAACAGAAGUGGAAGAAGAGGGAAUAUCGGAAGUGGAUGGAGGAACAUCUGAAGAAGGUGGAGGAAUAGUGAAGAGACUUGAGAGUAAAUCACCUAAAGGAUCAGCGGGCACUGUCGAAUCGACAGGCUCAGCUGGCUCAGCAGGAGCAGAUGCAGAUGCAGAAGCGAAAAGCUGACAUGUAACCUAUUCUGAGAGAUGGUAGUGUGCCCUAUGGGACGAAGAGCUCGCCGUGACACCCCAUCGGGAAAUAAAACCCCAAGUGAUGUCACUAAGCGAUAGAUCAAGCAAGCAUAGAGAAGACCAAUCCAAUGACUGGGAAACCGAAAAGUGUGCAAAAUAUGCUGGCAAAUGAAAGUGGAUAGGUUAAUCAAAUCCCUAUAUAGCAGAGCAUAGAGAAAUCUUACCUUUUCCAUAGGCAGGGAAGAAGUGUGAGAGACCGACCACAGAUUUGUACACACAAUGUGCAACAAAAUCUGUCGAUCAGUGGGGAGCAAACCAGUGCGGAUCGCCUUAGGCCCACCUCCCAAUGGACUAUUAAACAGAGUGGACCGAACAAGAGAGUCAGCCGAAAUAUAAUCAGCUGAGAGAUAUGGGUAAACAGGGUGAAUGACCCGGGGAACAUGUAUGGAACUGGAAAUAACAUCUGGUGAAAUCCUAAGUAUCUGAUCCCGAAGGAACACCCUAAAGGACAACUCACUAAUGUCCUAAAUGUUCGUAUAGAACUCCUAAACAAGGAGACUAGGUGGGGGAUUUAAACCUAUCAGUAAAGAUUCCUAACCUCAUGAGGUGAGAAUGGCAGCUAAAUCAGGUGGUAAGUCAGAUAGGGUGACCUCACGCUCAACUAAGAUAGGACGCAGUGAAAACUGACUCCCAAACACUUCCUGUGCAGUAGAAGAAAUAAACUUUGACCUACUAAACGAUGUUGAACCACUAGCUGGUAAAGCUGUAGUGUGAGCCCUCUUAGGUACCAUAUGAAAAAAGGAUAUGUGGAAUGGACUUCAAGACCCAUAGAUUGCCAAGAAAUGGGAAUGCAUGAACGUUCGUGAUCCAAUGCUCAAACAUAUACAGGCACAUAGACUGAUGCAAGGGAAUGCAAUAGUAGCAAGCAUAUAAGACCAACUAAACACAUGACACAGUAGCUAUAAGACAAUAUAUAAAUGUAGGUGACGUGACCUAGACGUAAGGAGUAACGGUCACAGGACGAAGGGGAACACACUGCAGGGCAUGAAACCAAGAACAGAAACAAUAUAGCAGUGACAUGAGAACACCAAAAUGGCCAAAACAUCACUUACAUAUGCAACCAAUACCACAUAGUCACGCACAACGUGGUUGAAGCAAAACAUUGAACACAUGAUGGGCAUGAAGAAUGCAUAUAAGUUUUGCUCCAAUUCAAGUCAAUUAAAAAACACAACGAGCAUUCCCAACCAACCUAACGACCGAGCAUCUAGAAAAAUUCCCAACCACGUGCAGCAAUAAUCACAAUGAACGGCGCACAAAUAAGGCAGUCAAUGAGCAUAAAAAAAUGAAGUUCAAAUGCGCAAAUCAAGCUUAAAGCAAGGAAGUCACAAUCCACACUCCAACAUGCACAAAGAAUGAAGUAAUUGAUGCAAAACGAAACUUAAAAUUCAAAAUCCCCAAAUUGAACUGAAACUAGGGCACGAGAGGCUCUUACCCGAGAUUGGCACGAAGUAAAACCUACACCAAGGUAAUGGAAUGAGAACCCACACACAGGUAAUGAGGAGCAAAACCACCAAGAACGCCAUUAGUGAGGGGAAAUUUGAGAAAGGAAUGGAAGAAAUUUAAAAAAAAAAUGAAGUUUAACCCAAUCGCGAGAAAACAAAAAAGCUCACUGUCGCUCGAGCGACAAGCAAUCUGCUUCUAUCGCUCAAGCGAGCUGCUAGCGGCAAGCGAGCGACGGGUAAAUUGUCAAAAAUAGCACCAAGUUUUGAAAAUUGAAAAAUCCAGCACCAUGUUUGGAACUUUGAAAUGUAGCACCACUUUAGAAACUUUCAAAAUUAGCACCAUUUAUAGAAAUUUGAAUUUUGACCCCAAUUUUUUUUUAUUUAAUAGGAAAUAUACACAUGUAGUAAGUCCAAUCAAAAUGCAGUAGAUCACAAAUACGGCAUGCUCUAUGAUUAGAAAAUGUUUCUCCACACACCGGAACUAAGUACAGAUGGAGUAAAUUGCAUAUAUGACCCCAUGUGAAACGUGCCAAUCAUUCCAUGCAAGUAAGACUCAAAAACUUAAAUUUGUGAGAAGAAACAACCAAAUCAUCGAUGUGUGAGUCAACAUCCAUAUGUUUGAAGGUCAAAUCCAAUACCACUAGGACCUAUAAUUCACUGAAAUAUGGUGUAAAAUUGUUUUUUCUCCCCUUGUCAUCAAGGACCUUCAAAAUUUUUUUAUUUUUGUUAAAAUCUUUUGUGCAAUCUCAUCUCCAUUAAGCUAUUAAGAAGACCUCUGUAAGAGCGUUGGGUCGGUGACUCCCAAACCAGUUAGCUUUAGGGCACCAGGUUAUGAAAAAUCCCUCAGACUGAAUUGCUCAAGUCAAUAGGCUUCAAAGAUAGGUAUAAGACGUAAUACAAUAAAUAAUAUUCUUUUGGAUCACUUGGGGGUACACCAGCAAUUAGGUUAUCUAGUCGAAAAUCAAUUCAAACCCAAUGUCAACUCAACGACAAAUGAUAGUCAUCCUAAGUCUCACACUGCGGUCAAGACUCACUCACACGGUCCUGGUUUUUGCUGUGCAGAUAGAAUAUGAAGUGACAUAUACUAAGUACUCCACACAGACUCAAUAUAAGUGAUGGGAAUUAGAAACUAAUCAUGUAUGGAAUGCAUCUUUGAUCCCAAAUUGCAAGUCCAAGUUAAUAUAUAUAUAAUUUUUUUUUAAAAGCCAAAAUGAAAGACAAAUGCAAGUAAAAACAAUCAAGCAAUGCCAUGAAUGCAGAAAUGAAUUAUUGAAAUAAACUAAACAUGCAUGCAUCUAUGAAGACGAUCAAUGAAGAACACAGAUGCCAACAGCCUUCCUAAGUGACUCGAACCUCAACUCAGCUAGAGGUUUAGUGAACAGAUCGACAAGUUGAUUUUCAGUAGAGAUAUGUUCAAGUGACACCACAUUGGACUCAACUAGCUCUCGAAUAAAGUGAUGACGAAUGUCAAUAUGUUUGGUCCUAGAAUGCUAAACAGGAUUUUUUGAUAUGUUGAUAGCACUGAUAUUAUCACAGAAAACAGUCAUAGUACCCUAAUUUAUCCCAUUAUCACUCAGCAUUUGCUUCAUCCAAAGCAGUUGAGUGCAAUAGCUACCAGCUGCAAUGUAUUCUGCCUGGGCUAUGGACAAUGAGACUGAGUUUUGUCUCUUACUCAUCCAUGAGACAAGAUUAGAACCAACAUAGAAACAUCUAUUGGAGGUACUCUUUCUAUCGUCGGCAUUUCCGGCCCAAUCAACAUCAAAUUCUUGUUUCAUGCAUUCAGCGAAUUCAAGAGCAAGGGAGUCAAUGGGAGAGCCAAAGAUGAUGUCAUCGACAUAGAUAUAUGCUACAAUUAUAGUUUCUUCAAUAUAUCUAAUGAAUAAGGUUUUGUCAGCACCACCUCGUGAAAACCCAUGCUCAACUAGGUAAGUGGUAAGUCUGUCAUAUAUAGUGCUUUAUUGAGUUUGUAGACAUAAUGAGGAAACUUAGGGUUAAUGAAUCCUUUUGGCUAUUCAAUAUACACCUCUUCUUGCAGUAUUCCAUUUAAGAAUGCACUCUUAACAUCCAUUUGAUAUAACUUGAACCCAAGGUACAAGCAACCACAAGAAGAAUGCGAAUGGACUCAAGACGAGCAACAGGGGCAAAUGUCUCAUCAAAAUCUACCCCUUCAACCUGAGUGUACUCCUGGGCAACUAGUCUAGCCAUAUUUCUAGUUAUGGUACCUUGGUCAUCAAUUUUGUUCUUGAAAAUCCACUUAGUACCUAUCACAUUACAAUCAUCAGGCCUAGGAACUAGAUACCAAACAUUAUUUCAAACAAAUUGAUUAAGCUCCUCAUGUAUGGCAUUCACCCAACAUUCAUCUCUAAGGGCUUCCUCUACUUUCUUAGGUUCAAUCUGGGAUACAUAGCUAGUAUAUGUUAGAUUAUUUAGAACUCUCUUUCGUAACCUCAUACCUUCAUCUAAGUCCCUAAUGAUGUUAACCUUAGGAUGAUUAGAUUUGACCUUGGAAGAUGGUUCUCUAGGAAGCUUAGAUUAAUCACAAUUUGGUAGACCCGAUCAGAGAUGUCUACACCUUUAGAGGAGCGUAGAGAUUUUGAAAUUGAUUGCUCUUUAUUUUUAGCAGUGGCUACUUGAUCAUCGCUUAGAUCUUAUAUAUCUAGCCCAUUUUCAGCACUCUUUCCCUUAGUGAAGGCAUCAUCAACAACAACAUUUACAGAUUCCAUGACACUCUGAGUACGCAAGUUAUAAACUCGGUAGGCUCUACUGUUCUUAGAAUAUCCUAGAAAAACCCCAUCAUCACUUUUGGAAUCAAACUUGUCUAGAUUUUCUCUAUCCCUCAGAAUGUAACACUUGCUGCCAAACACACGAAAGUAUUUAACAGUAGGUUUCUUGCCCUUCCAGAUCUCAUAGGGAGUCUUGUCUAUUUUCAGUCUAAGGUAUACCCUAUUUACUAUGUGGCAAGCAGUGUUAAUGGCUUUACCCCAGAAAUGCAUUGCUAGAUCCUUGUCGUGAAGCAUGGCCCUAGCCAUUUCUUGAAGCACUCUAUUCUUUCUCUUAACAACUCCAUUUUGCUGUAGAGUGAUUGGUGAGGAGAACUCAUACUUAAUCCCCUCCUCCAAACAGAAGUUUUCAAGAUUGAAGUUUUCAAAUUCUUUCCCAUGAUCACUUCGAAGCCUAGAAAUGGAAAGAUUUUGUUCAAUUUUGAGUCUUUUACAUAAAGACUUAAUCAGAUCACCCGUCUCAAAUUUUUCUCUUAACAGUUCAAUCCAGGUGUAUCUGGAAAAGUCAUCUACCACAAUCAGAAUAUACCGUUUGCCUCCUAGGCUCUCCACUCUAGAUGGUCCUAUUAAAUCCCUAUAGAGAAGCUCUAAGGAUCUAUUUGUCAAGAUUUUCAAGGUUUGCUUAUGGUUUAUCCUGAGUUGCUUUCCUUGUUGACACGACUUGCACACAGUAUUUUCACUUUGAUUAAUUUUAGGUAGACCAUCGACAAUCAUUUUUGACCAAUUUGGAGAGACUUCUGUAAUUAACAUGACCAAUCCUUUGAUGCCAAAGUUCUGACAUAUCAAUUUUAGCACUACUGCACACAUAGUUUGAGUUUGGGAGAACUCUAUAACAGUUAUCACAUGUUUUAACACCUUCAAGAACAACACCACUUGAAGGGUCAUAAACAGUGCAUCUCUUUUGGACAAAACUUACUUCAUAGUCAACAUAAUAGAUUUGACUAAUGCUCAACAAGUUGGACUUAAUACUCUCUACAUAAAGCACAUUAGAUAUUGUAGAAAGUCCAGAAAUGGUGAUGAAGCCUUUACCUUGGAUGGGUACCGUAGCUCCGUCCCCAAAGGUAACUACACCACCGUUGUAGUCAUCAAUGGUAGAGAAUAAGGCCUUGUUACCACACAUGUGUCUAGAACAAGCACUAUCAAGAUACCACAUGCAAAUAUUUUGAGCCUUAUACGCUACAUGAGCAACAAAACAUUUUAGAUUCUCACCAUACUCACCCACAUUAGAUUUCUUUACCCAAACUUUUCUAGAGGUCGAGGUGAUCCUAUUCAACCUUGUUACCAUCUCAGUUAAGUGACUAACCUGAUUUGAAAGGAAGUUUACAUGACUAGGGAUAUCCUGACUUCUAUUCCUAUUUGCUAGCUUUCGACACCUAGGUCUCGUGUAAACUAAAGCACCGCAGUGAUGACAAGUGGGUAUGACCCUAGGUUCAGAUGCACGUGAGUGUUGAUCCUGAAAUUUAGGUGUAGAAAUCUUAGUGGCUCUAGUGGCCUUCAGUUCAGUGACAUUCUUGCCUUUGGAUUCUGGAUUGGUUGAAAUAUUAGACCUGUUCCGGGGACAAAUGUGGUCUUGGACGAACUAGACACAUUACCAUCACUCUUCACAAAUCAUAGACCUUGUCUAUUUCCAGUUGGUUUGUUCAUUCAUAAUAGAUCAUCUAGUUUCUUUGUUCCACUCAUAAACGACUACAGUUGAGUACUGGAUUUCUCUAACUCAUAAGUCAGUGUCUUAACCCUAUCCUCUAAUUUCUCAUUGACACACUUCAACUCACUGAGAUUUUUAGAUGAGACUUGAAGAUCAUUAGUGAUUUUCUCCUUCUCUCUCUCAAGCUCAUCUACUUUCUUAAAUAGGGCUUUAUUUACCUUUUUGAUCUUGAGACUUUCCUUAAACAGAAGUUGAUAAGCUUCAUGUAUAUCCGUCUCAUCCUUAGAAUCAUCACGGGACUUGUUAUUCUCAACCUCCUUCUCAACGUUCUCACUCUCCUUAUCUGACUCACUCUUAACAGUAGAUACAAAAUCUAUAUAGCCCUUUUCCUCUUCACUGCUUGAGGAACCACUUUGAUCACUUGAGUUAGAAUCAUCAUCAGUCAAGGACACAGCUAAUGCCUUGCUCCUUCCAUUCUUUAGAUUUUUCUUAAAGCUAGGACAUUCAUUCCUAUAGUGCCCAAAUCCUUGACACUCAUGACACCUAACCACUUGAGAUUUCUUACCAGGGUUCCUAGCAAUUGAUUUAUCAUUCGUCUCUCUUAGGAAUUUGCUAGGGGCUCCUCUCCUUUUGUCUUAGGGCCAUUCCUUGGCCUUUAAGACUUUCUGGAAUUUUUUUACAAAGUAGGCAAUCUCUUCAUCUCUAAGAGUUUCUAUGUUAGAUGACUCAGACUCCUCUUCCCUAACGGUGUUCAAGGCUAUGGACUUGUUUUUCCUCAGUUGUGAAAUGGUGAGUUCAUAGGUUUGAAGGGGUCCUAUGAGUUCUUCUAUCUUAACUGUGUCUAGGUCCUUGCUUUCUUCAAUAACUGUAACUUUAGGUCUAAGUCUCUUGGGUAAGGACCUAAGAACCUUCCUUAUGAUUUUGGACUCGGGAAUUCUCUCACCUAGGUUGAAAUAGAGUUAACAAUGUCAUUCAAUUUGACAUAGAACUCAUCAAAACACUUAUCAUCCUUCAUCCUAAUUUCUUCGAACCUUGAGGUCAAUAUUUGCAACUUAGAAUUUUUCACAGUUUUAGUUCCAUCAUGCGUUGUCUCUAGAAUGUCCCAUACCUCUUUAGCAGUUUCACACAUUGACACUCUCCUAAACUCUUCAGGAGACACAUACAUAAAUAAUGCAUGGAGACAUUUACUAUUCCAGUUGCAAUCACCCAAUUUAUCCUUAGUCCAAAGGGAAAUGUCAGUUGGGGUUACAACACUAGAAACAAUUGUGGAAGGAGGUUUCCAACCAUUUUGUAUACUCACCUAGACACGUUCAUUUAGGGACUUAAGAAAAGCACGCAUUCUAACCUUCCAAUAGGUAUAGUUGCUUCCAUUAAAAUACGGAGGCACAGAUAGUGAUUGACUCAUCUAGACAACUAUGGGUCAGGACUCGAGAUUUGACUCUGAUACCACUUGAAAUAUCGUAGUUCGACCCAAUCAAUGCCUAGACUAGGGGGUAAAUAUGUGUUUAUGUGGAAUUUUCUUUUUUAAUCAAUCAAUAAUUGCAACACGUCACAAAUAUUAAUUUGUCCAUAUCAGUUCACAUGCUUUACUAUCCUAUGUUUGAAUACCGGUAAUAAAUUAAUAGUAGAAAAGUAAAAACACAAUUGUUUGUUGAUGGAGAAACCCCAAGAUGGGUAAAACUCCGAGCCCAAGCCAGUAGAAAUCCACUAUAAACGAAAAUACAACUUACAAUCUGUCAAACUCAACCCACACUAAUUUUUCUGACCUCUUGACUGUAAUUUCCUAAAAGCCUUCCUGGAAUGCGUGAUCGUGCACUAACUUUUGGCUCCUAGCUCUCUUGGAUUACAUGCUACACCAAUUCCCGGCUCUUGAUUUCGUCUAUCUCCUGUGGAUUCAAGAGAACCGCUUGUUCUCUAAUGAUCAGGACUCCGAUCUCCUUCCUCGAUCUCCAAGAAUCAACAAAAGCACUAGAAGGUUGUGUUGUGGUGUUUGAUGAAUGUAGAUUUGAUGUUUUUAGGUAAUUGUCCAAAUCAAAUAUGGGAUUAAAUGAAUGAAUCAAGUGUAGAGAGUUUUUCUUUAAUUUCAAUCCUUAAGAGAGACAUAUGAAAAUUGACGUAAUUUAAUUUAUAUGAAGUGUAUUGGGACAUUUGGGUCGGGUCAAAAUGUCGAAAAAAGAAAAAUAGGGUUUUUUAGGUAACACCAUCGCUCGAGCGAAAAGCAAGCGACACUAUUUUCGCUCGAGCGAAGUGGGGGCGAGAAGGGAGCAACGACCUUUCUGUUUUUGUCGCUCGAGUGACUACUUGGCGAGCAGCUAGCGAAACUUCAACGACACAUUUUGCCCUACUUCAUAGCUCAAACCCUAACAUACUUUGACAAAAUUACAACUUAGUCCCUCAUCUUUUACACAUGUACAAAUUUACCCCUAACCUUUAAACAUUGACAAAUUGACCCCCAAACUUUUGAACAUUUACAAUUUUACCCUUUUGUUCACAGAAUAGCCAACACAAAAUCUAUCAAUUAGCGUUAGUAUUACUUCUCAAUCUAGCUAGCAUAUUUAUGAUAAUUUGUUUCAAUUUCUAUAUUUCCUAUAUUACGUGCUUUUAUAAUUGGUAUUUGAGUUGUUGAUUUCAAAAAACAGGUUUAACCAGGAACGCAAGAAACUGACAUUCAGCUUGGGUUUAGGUAAAAUAGUUUUAUUUUCACUUCUUUUACUUGUAUUGUAUAGUUUUGUCGCAUAAUGCCAAAGGAGGAGUUUGUGAGAUUUUUAUUGUAUUGGCAAUAAUUGAUAUUUUUUCUUUCCAAACCUACUUGUCUAAUUAUCGGUAGCAAGUGAUAUUUCAACAAACCUCUUGGCUGUAAAUGCAGUUUCCCUAUGUCUGAUUGAGAUAAGGAAGUUCAAAGACAUAUAUAUAUGAUCAAGAUUGGGGGGAGGAACCAUAUCUGAAAAUGUUGGUGAUUCUGGUUGAUCAUCAUCUUUUUCAUAUUCAUUUUGAUAAUGAGGUUUUGGAAUAAUAGGAGUAAAAUAUGCUCUUUUGUAUGAAGAUUGAAAGGAUGAUCUGGGUUUUUCUUCAGAUCUAGUUGAAAAAGACUUAGCAGAAUAAGAUCUUUGAAUCCUUGAAGAUGAUCUUUUGAAAAGAAUCUUAGCUUUUCCAUCUAGAAAAGUAAGAAUUUGAUUUGGAGUUGUUCUAGUUUGAGCAGGAACAGGUGUUUGAACAUUAUCAAAAUUUCAUUCGAGUCCACGGGAUUGAAGUUUCCAUGGAAUUCUUUUUGGAAUUUUGACAUUUGAGUGAAAAUGAUUGACUUCAACUAAAAGAAUUUCAUCUCUUGGUGAAGAAUGAAGAACUCCAAUAUUGAGUUGAGUAUUCAUAAACUUAUAAUAUACUCUGUAUAUUACAGCAAAAGCAUUUGACCUACUAUCAAAUUCAAGAUUUUUUGUUUGAAUAUGAAGAUUGAGAGAAUUGAGAAUUGCUCUAUCAGUAAGUUUGAUAGAAAAGCUUGGAUAACAGUUUGAAAAUACUGGACCACUUUCUAGAUUUGAUUCUAGAAGUGAAAGUAAUGAAUUUUCAAAAUUGAGAUGUCUCUUAUUUCUAAGAGUAAGUAAAAUUGGAACAUCAAGACCAAGUUUAAACAAGGGCUUGACUGCUAUUUGACCUAAUCCAACAUGAAGAUAUUUAAAUUUUUUCCAGUCGGAUUCAAUAGCUUCUUUUGUAAGCAAAUUAACGAAAGAAUUUUGACUAUUAGUUGAAAUAGUUUGUUCAAUAGUUUUGAUAGCAUAAUUUUGGGAAAAAUCAAAUUUUCCUAUUUCAUAGAUGGUAUGUUUAUCUAACUUUGGAAUAGUCCAAUUUUGAAGACGUUCAAUUUGUGCAAUUUGAAGUUCAUGAGAAUUGAAAUCAUUUGAUGCAAAUGAUGCAGAUGCACGAUCAAUUUCUUCUUCUAUUUGAAAAAUAUUUGUUCUAUUCUCAUUUGAUUGAUUUUCACGUCUAUUUCUAGACCUCGAUCUCCUUAACCAAUUAGUAACUCAAGACAUAAUUGAAUAAAAAUGAAAUUACUAUAAAACAAAGUAAAAACAAAAUAAUAGGAUUAACAAAUUCUCACCAAGCCUACAAUGGGACCACCCUUCAAUGCCUACACUGGCAACACGGGCUGACCAAUGCUUAAUAGCAAACGUCCAGGUUUGAACAAGAUUUUCCUAAAUAUCUUGUGCUUAUAGUGUUUGAUACCAAAAUAGCCCAGGGGAAAGAAGAAACAGAAAUAGUGAGAAAGAGAUCAAAUUGAGAAAUGUUUAUUGAAAAUUGUAGAAUUGAAAUACAAUUUUGUAAGUUUAGAGAACAAAAAUAACAAAGAAAAUAAACUUCUAUUGCCAAAUUCGCUCUGCCUUGAAAUGAACUCUUGAAGUUUUCUUUUACUUGAAAUCCGAACUUGAAAUUUCUUUCAUUUGCCAAAAACAAUCUUGAAUAGUUGAGUGGGAGACAAAAUAAUGAAGAAUCUUGAAAUAUGAUACUAGCUUUUGAAUAAUUGAGCCAUCUUUUGAAAAACUUUACAAAGAAAGAUUCCUUCUAUAAUAAAGUUGUCUUUUUCUUGGAAUGGAUGGCAAUCUGUUGAAAAAAACCUGAUUAGUUGGCAUGCAUAAUUUGAAAAGAUUUUCCCUUCAUUUAUUGAUCCGGUAAUUUCUCAAUUCUUCGAGAAAAUCGGGUUCUUGUAGUCAUAUGAUCCUCUUUUCUUGAGCAAGAAAUUAAUCAUAACCUAAAUCAAUUAGGUCAUCACCAUUGUCUGUCUCUUGAGAUUUUUGAUCAGAUUCUUGAAUACUUGAUUUUUAGAAAUUUGUUCAUAAAUUUCUAAUAAUUCUUUUGGAUCUUUGCAUUUUAAUAACAUUAAAAUAGUCCUUUGUUUUUCAAUCAGAAAAUAUGCCUGAUCAUCUUGUUCUUUCGUUGAGAAUUUUGGGACACCCAAAUUUCUUUGUUCUUGAAUCUAUGAUUGAACUGCUUUUGGACAACAAUUUGUUUCUUUGUAUUUAGACCACCAUUUGACUUUGAAUCUUCUGGUAAUCUUUUGAGUGAAGUAUUCAUCAUUUUGAUUCUGCAGUAGAAAGAAAUCCCAGCAAAAAAUCCAGGAAACUUUCAUAUUGAAGGCAAAGUGGAACAAAACAUUUUCUUGAGGCUUUAAAAAUAUUUUAGCCUCUCUUUUGAAGUAUUCAUAUCCUUGAAGAGUAAGACUGAGUAAAAAUUUUUCUUCAAGUCCAUGAUACAAAAAUCAUGUUUGAAACCAUUUUGGAAAAUGAGGAUGACAAUUUUGAUUAAAAAUAAUGAACCAUGAAUGGGUAAUAGGUCUAAAGAAAAAGACUAUGUACCAGGCAUUGAUAUAAUUAAAAUAAUUGAAAUAUUUUAAAAGUUGUAAAAUAUGUUGAAGAGAGCUUAAGUCUCUUUUUUCCCAUGGGUUUUGUCCCCAGUCUUCGUAAGACAAUACCCUAAGAAUACUGAUUUUUGAAAACAUCGUUUCUUCUUUAUUUUGAGGAUCUGGAGUAUGAGAAAUUAUGGCUGAUCUUGUUUUCAAAAGGAUAGUCUCAUAAUAAUCUUGGGAUUUUUUGAAAUUUGAUGGCAUGAACCAAAAAUUGGUUGGAAAAAUGUUUGGAAGACAUUCGUCCAAAUUUUUGUAUCUAUGAAGCCAAUAUGUUUCCAUAUCAAGGGAAUUUUCAAAGAUACUUUUGGUAAAAUAUUGAAAAUUUUGAGAAGGGUUUAUUUGAGGAAGUUUUCCAGAGCUUUGGACGACUUUUUGUAGUUUGAAGGGGUAGCUUUAUUUUGAUUGGGUUUUUUGAUAAGAGUCGAAAGGGUAUUUGAGGAGGAAGAAGCUUCUUGAGCUUCAUUUGGAGAAUGAUCUUUUGAGAGAUCAUUAAUUGAGAAAAAAGGAGUAGAAUUUUUCUUUCUACUUUGUUUCUUUUGAAACGGAUUUUGAUCUUCUUCUUCAACUUGUUUCACACAACUCAUUUUCAUUUUUUUUGUGAAUGAACUCUCUUGUGAGGAAGUCUGCUAAGAAGUUUGAUUUCCCUUGUAUAUAUAAAAUUUCGAAAUCAAAACAGGACAAAAUAGCCUGCCAUCUUACAAAGAUUUGUUUAGAAACAAGAUUUUUCACAUCUUUUUGUAAAACAUCUUUUGAGGCUUUAGAAUCUGUUUUCAAAAUAAAUUUUUUAUUGAUAAGAUCGUCUUGAAAUUUUGAAAUACACAGUACUAUUGAAAGAAUUUCCUUUUUGAUAGUGGAGUAAUUCUUUUGAGGACCGGUCCACAUCCACUGUGAUACCUAACUAACUGUUCUUGAGAUGACCCUAGUGGGAUUUGCUUUAACAUGCCACCAUACCCAAUAUCUGAGGCAUCAGUCUCAAUAAUAAUUGAAGCUGUGGCGUCAAGUAUUGAAAGAUAUGGAAUAUUUUUAAUUGCUUUUUUGACUCUUUGAACUGCAACUGUGUGCUCGUAACUCUAUGGGUCAGGGUUGUUUUGUAGUCUUUUGAAUAAUGGGGCACAGAUUUGACGUAUACUUUUGACAUAAUUGACACAAUCUAAAAAGCGUUGCAAACUUGUUUUAUCUAUGAUUUCAUCUGAAAAUUUGUUAAUGAAAUCAAAACUUCUUUGAAUAGGAGUUAAAGUGUCAUUAUGAAUAUAAUGACCAAGAAAACGUAUUUUUGUUUGAAAUAAAACAAUCUUCUUAGCAGAAAACUGCUAAACCAUUUUUCUUAGUAACAGAAUGAAUGUAUGAAUAUGUUUAGAAUGUUGUUCUAUAUUUUCACAAAAUAUAAGAACAUGAUCAAUGUAAACAAUAAUGAAUUUUGAAAAAGGAUUGAAAAUAUCAUUCAUAAUUUUUUGAAAUUCAAAGAGAGCAUUUUUUAGACUGAAUGGCAUAACAUUCUAUUCAUAUUGUCCAAAAGGAACAUUGAAGGCAGUCUUGUAUCUGUCUUCUUCUUUAAUUUGAAUUUGCCAGAAACCUGACUUAAUAUCAAAUUUUGAAAAGAUGACAGCUUUACAAAAACGAUUCAAAAGAUCUUUCUUUUGAGGAAUAUGAUAUCUAAUCAUUGAAGAGCAGUAUUGAGGGGUUUAUAAUUAAUAACCAAACGAGGAACUCUACGUUCAAUUUCAGUAGAAUUAUUGAUGUAAAAAGCUGAACAGCUCCAAGGAGAUUUACUUGGUCGGAUUAAACCUUUCUCAAGUACAUCAUUUAUUUCUUUAAUACAAAAAUCAAGUAACUCUUUAUUCAUUUGAAUAGGACUUGAUUUUGUAGGAAUAUUUGAUUCAUGAAAAUCAGAAUUGUAAGGAAGAGAAGCAUGUUUCUUUCUAUCCCAGAAGGCAUUUGGAAUGGUUGAACAAAUUUCUUUUUCAAUUCUAUUUUUUAAUUCUGAAUUUUUUGCUUGAAGAAUAGACUCUUGCAAUCUGUUCUCCAUUUUUUGAAAUUGAAUUUCUUUUUUAAGAAAUUGAAUAUGAUUUCUUUUUAAAUUAAUAUUGUUGAUACUUUUUGAAAUAGCAGCCUCUUUUAAAGAAUUAAUAUCUUUAUAAGAAUGAGGAUUUGUAAAUUCAAAAAAUAUUUUUUGAUAAAAAACUUUUGUAGUUAAUCCUUUAUAAUUAGCUUUGAAAGGAUAAAUUUGAACAAUAAAAGGUGUACCAAGAAUAGAUUCUCGAUCCAAAUCCUUUACAAAAUAAAAAAUAGUUUUGAAACAAAUAUUUGAAUUACAAACAUGAGAUUUUGAAAUUUUAUAAUUGAUAUUAAGCUUUUUUUCACUAGCUUCAUAAAGACGCUUAGUGGUUUUUUCAAAGUAUUUUGUAGGAAACAAGUCUUCUUUGAUACAAUUUUGAUCUGCACCUGAAUCAAUAAGAACCUGUGUUGUAAAUUUGAAUUCUUUAUUUACAACAAUGGUCAUAUUGUAAUACCAUUUUUAAAGUUAAAUUUGGUUAAUAACGUUAACCUUUUCUUCUUCAGAUUUGAGAAGUUUGAAAUCAGAAUCUAAUGAACAAUCAGGUGAAAAUUUAGAAUGUUUUGAGGAAACUUUCAAUUUUCCUUUGAAUUUUGAAUAAAAUUCAUCAUUUAAGUUUUUUGCUUUCAUACAAACGACUUCCAUAUGAAUUUCUUUGACUUGAUUUUCAAGGUCUGAGAUUUUAGUUUUCAUACUCUUAAUCUCUUAUUGAAGAUCAGGAAUAGAAGGUUUAGAACCUUUAGAAAAUUCUUUUUGAGGUCGUUUGAGAAUUUGAUUGAUAUUGAUAUCAUCGAAAUCUUGUUUUGAAGUAGAAGGUAAAAGAGAGAAGAGUUUUUUCUUGAGAUUAGGAUUAUCAAUCCUAUCAAUGAUAUCUUGAAUAACUUCUUCUUCUCUAGAUAAAAUAUUUAUAGUUUUACAACCACAAAUUUCUUUUUCUGAGUUUGAAGAAAUAUCAGAUGAAUGAGGAAGAGGAGAAGAUUCAUAAUCAGAAUCUUCUUGAUUAAGAAAAACUUGUUCUAAUUCUGAGUUAGACUCAUUAUCAGAACUUGAUUCAAUAAGAUUGAGAAGUUGAGUUUUAGUAUCUUCAUCAAUUUGAAGAUUACUAAUCUUGGUUUUGAGUGGACAUUUAUUGGAAUAAUGACCAGUCUUAUUGCACUUCUAGUAAGUAAUAUUUGAAGAAUUUUUUGAAUUUUUCUUUUUUGAAAAAGGUUUUCUUUUGUUAGAAAAUUCUUCUGGAUAUUUUUUAAAAUAUUUUCUUUUAGAAAAUUUUCUAUUUUUAGAAAAAAAAUUUGAUUUUGAAGAUGGAGGAAUGAUCUUUUCAUAACCAUAUUGUUCACAAAAAUAUCCAAGUUCUUUUUGACUCUUAGACUUUUCUGCUUUCAAUUUGGCUUUGAGUUUUAAAUCAUUACACAAAUUUAAAGCUUCUUUAUUGAUAAAAUUAAUAAUUUCUCCAUAGGUAAGUGUUUGAAGGUCAUCAAAUUCUUGAAAAAUAGAAUUUUUUUACUCUUUCUGCAAAGAGUUAUGGAAGUCCAGAAAUGAAUUUUUCUUUCCAAAAAGAUUGUUGCCAAUCUUCUCUUAUCAUGAUACGAGAUAAAAACAUAUCUUUGUACCAUCGAAAAUCUUGUAGUUUUGGACAUCUUAAAUUUAUCAAAAUGUCAUUUUGCAUUUGAACAAUAUUUUCUGAAGUACCAAUAAAAAGUUUGAUAAUAGUUAAACCAAGAACGGUAAAACUAUCACUAAUCUCAUUUCCAUUUGUAUCAUUAUUUUCAUCACGUUUGACAGCAGAAAAGAUAAUAUCCUUCUCAGUUUGAGAAAGAUAAUUAUCCCACCAUUGACCAAGUUGUCUAGUGAAUCCAAGAACAAUAUUAUUAGUAGCAUCUCUUCUUGAAGUACCUUUUGUAAGAUAAAUUUUGUAACACAUGGUCAUUUGUCCCAUAAAAUUGAUAAUUUGAUAUUCAGUAAGUCCAUCGAGAUUCCACUCGACACUGAAAUUACCGCCAUAAGUUCUUUGAGGAUUAUCUUUUUCUUCAAAAAGCUGAUCAAGGAAUGAAGGACGAGGAUAAUAUUUUGGAAGAUUUUGAUAGUUAAAUUUUCUCAAUUUAUUAAUUGAAUCAUAUUUUUCAUCAAUAAAUUGAGCUUCAAUUUCAUCAAUGGUAUUGAUGUUUUUUGAAACAUGAAAUUUUUUUAAUUGAGUGGCAAGUUCAGAAAGAAUUUCACUUUCAGUUUGAAGAGUAGAAGAUUUUCCAAAUUAAGGAAUCAAAUCAUUACUUUUGAAAAUUGAAGAGGAAGAGGAUGAUGGUUUUGAUAAAUUCUUAUCUUUACUACUACUUUCUCUAAAUUCUUUAGAAGAAUCUUUUUGAGAAGUAAUAUUCUCAGAUUCAGAAUUUGAUUCGAUACAAUUGAGCUGAGAAAACAUAGAUUGAAGAACAAUAUUAGUAUAAUUGUUCUGAGAUUUGAUAUUUUUGAUAUCCUUAUCAACAACCUAAGAUUCAUCAUAUCGUUCUUUAGGAAUCCUCUUGAGGGGAGAUGCAAUGAUUUCAGUUUUUCCAUGAGGAAUAACUAUUUCUUGCAUAGGAGGACGAGUUGAUUGGAAAGUAUUUCCUUCUGGAGUUUUCCAAGUAUUGACACGAGUUUUUGAAGUAAAAAUUUUUAUUUUUUCUGGCCUUUUACCAAAAACUUUGAAUUGAAUCUAGUCAUAGAAACUUAAAUCAGUAGAAGAUUUGAAAUAAGAUUCUUUUUGUUUUUUUUCUCUGAAAAGUUUUCUAAGAUUUUUGAUACAAAUAACUGAUCAUUUUUGAAUUCUUUUCUUCUAUCAAUUUCAGAAGAAAUAACAUUACAUUAAUGUUCAAGAUUGGAGGAAGGAACCAUAUUUGAAAAAGUUGGUGAUUUUGGUUGAUCAUCCUUUUUUUUAUAUUUAUUUUGAUAAUGAGAUUUUGAAAUAACAGGAGUAAAAUCUGCUCAUUUGUAUGAAGAAUGAAAGGAUGAUCUGGGUUUUUCUUCAGAUCUAGUUGAGAAAAGACUUAGCAGAAUAAGAUCUUUGAAUCCUUGAAGAUGAUCCUUUGAAAAAGAAUCUUAGCUUUUCCAUCUGGAAAAGUAAGAAUUUGAUUUAGAGUUGUUCUAGUUUGAGCAAGAACAGGUGCUUGAACAUUAUCAAAAUUCCAUUCGAGUCCAUGGGAUUGAAGAUUCCAUGGAAUUCUUUUUGGAAUUUCGACAUUUGAGUGAAAAGGAUUGACUUCAACUAAAAGACUUUCAUCUCUUGGUGAAGAAUGAAGAGCUCCAAUAUUAAGUUGAGUUCAUAAGCUUAUAAUAUACUCUGUAUAUUACAGCAAAAGCAUUUGACCUACUAUCAAAUUCAAGAUUUUUUGUUUGAAUAUGAAGAUUGAGAGAAUCGAUAAUUGCUCCAUCAGUAAGUUUGAUAGAAAAGUUUGGAUAAUAGUUUGAAAAUACUGAACCACUUUCUAGAUUUGAUUCUAGAAGUGAAAGUAAUGAAUUUUCAAAAUUGAGAUGUCUCUUAUCUCUAAGAGUAAGUAAAAUUGGAACAUCAAGACCAAGUCUAAACAAGGGCUUGCCAGCUUUUUGAACUAAUCCAACAUGAAAAUAUUUAAAUUUCUUCCUGUGGGAUUCAAUAGCUUCUUUUGUAAGUAAAUUAAUGAAAGAAUUUUGACUAUUAAUUGAAAUAGUUUGUUCAAUAGUUUCGAUAACAUAAUUUUGAGAAAAAUCAAAUUUUCCUAUUUCAUAGAUGGUAUGUUUAUCCAUCUUUGGAAUAGUCCAAUUUUGAAGACAUUGUUCAAUUUGUGCAAUUUGAAGUUCAUGAGAAUUGAAAUCAUUAGAUGCAGAUGCAUGAUCAAUUUCUUCUUCUGUUUGAAAAAUAUUAGUUCUAUUCUCAUUUGAUUCAUUUUCACGUCUAUUUCUAGACCUCGAUCUCUUUAACAAAUUAGUAACUGAAGACAUAAUUGAAUAAAAAUGAAAUUACUAUAAAACAAAGUAAGAGGAUUAACAAGUUCUCCCCAAGCCUACAACGGGACCACCUUUCAACGCCUACACCGGCAACACGGGCUGACCAAAUCUUAAUAGCAAACGUUUAGGUUUGAACAAGGCUUUCCUAAAUAUCUUGUGCCUAUAGUGUUUGACAAUAAUAUCACUUUACUCUCUUAUGGCUCUGAUACCAAAAUAAAGAAGAAACGAUGUUUUCAAAAAUUAGUAUUCUUAGGGUAUUGUCUUACGAAGACUAGAGACAAAACCCAUGGGAAGAAAAGAGACUUAAGCUCUCUUCAAUAUAUUUUACAACUUCUGAAUAUUUCAAUUAUUUUGAUUAUAUCAAUGCCUGGUACAUAGUCUUUUUCUUUAGACAUGUUACUCAUUCAUGGUUCAUUCUUUUUAAUCAAAAUUGUCAUCCUCAUUUUCCAAAAUGGUUUCAAACAUGGUUUUUGUAUCAUGGAUUUGAAGAAAAAUUUUUACUCAGUCUUACUUUUCAAGGAUAUGAAUACUUCAAAAGAGAGGCUAAAAUAUUUUUAAAGUUUCAAGAAAAUGUUUUGUUCUAAUUUGCCUUCAAUAUGAAAGUUUUCUGGAUUUUUUGCUGGGAUUUCUUUCUACUACAGAAUCAAAAUAAUGAAUUCUUCACUCAAAAGAUUACCAGAAGAUUCAAAGUCAAAUGGUGGUUUAAAUUCAAAGAAACAAAUUGUUGUCCAAAAGCAGUUCAAUCAUGGAUUCAAGAACAAAGAAAUUUGGGUGUCCCAAAAUUCUCAAAGAAAGAACAAGAUAAUCAGGCAGAUUUUCUGACUGAAAAACAAAUGAUUAUUUCAAUGUUAUCAAAAUGCAAAGAUCCAAAAGAAUUAUUAGAAAUUGAUGAACAAAUUUCUAAAAAUGGAUCUAAAAAAUCAAGUACUCAAGAAUUUGAUCAAGAAUCUCAAGAGACAGACAAUGGUGAUGACCUAAUUGAUUUAGGUUAUGACGAAUUUCUUGUUCAAGAAAAGAGGAUCAAACGACUACAAGAACCCAGUUUUUUUCGAAGAAUUGAGAAAUUAGCGGAUCAAUAAAUCAAGGGAGAUUCUUUUCAAAUUAUGCAUGCCAACUAAUCAGCUUUUUCUCAAAAUAUUGUUGUCCAUUUCAAAAAAAGAUAACUUUAUUAAAGAAGGAAUCUUUCUUUUUAAAGUUAUUCAAAAGCUGGUAUCAUAUUUCAAGAUUUUUCAUUAUGUUGUCUCCCACUCAACUAUUCAAGAUUCUUUCCAGCAAAUGAAAGGAAUUUCAAGUCUGAAUUUCAAGUAUAAGAAGACUUCAAGAGUCCAUUUCAAGGCAGAGCGAAUUUGACAAUAGAAGUUUAUUUUCUUUGUUAUUUUUGUUCUCUAAACUUACAAAAUUGUAUUUCAAUUAUAAUAAACAUUUCUUUCUCAAUUUGAUCUCUUUCUCACUAUAUAUAUAUAUAUAUUUUUUAUUUUUAUUUUUAUUUUUAUUUUUAUUUUUAUUUUUAUUUUAUUUUAUUUUAUUUUUUUUGGGGGAUAAAUCAACCAUGACAUGUAUUAUUGAGAUGAAAGAAAAAAAUUACAGUAGGAGAGCACAUUAAACUCAUGUUUGGUUUAGAUAAUCGAAUUUUUAGUAAAUUUUGAUAAAAGUUUAUGGAAUGUGUGGUUGAAAAGUUAUGGAUCUCAUGAAAUACAUGGUUAUAAUUAAUGGUUUACUUUGACUUAGAUUUUAUUUUACCUUUUAAGCUGUACCAAAUAGGGACUGAUUAGUUGGAAGAUGAGUUACUUAGAUUGUGAGAUGAGUUACUUAGAUUGUGUUGAUGUUAGUGCAUAUCUCAAUUUCAUAAAAGCUUAAUGAAGACAACAAAAAUUAUUUUAAAAUACACGCAUUCCAAGUUUAUUAAAAUAUAAAACAUAAUACUUGUAAUGAAAGAUGGCUACACAUCGACAGUGUAGUCUCCCAAGCAAAGACUACAGUUUAUUUAAUUAAAACCAAAUUAAUGUAGUCUCCAGCAGAGAUCUACAUUUUUUUUUUUAAUUAAAGUCAGUUUAAUAUCAUGAAACAGAGUUUAUUAACUCAACCAGCUUCUUAGAUAGAUAAGUAAUUUAUCCCCCAGCUUUUUCAGCAAUGCAUCAAGCGAUUGCUAACUCCUUGAUGAAAGCCUCUUCCACUGUUGCACCAGUCAUCACCUCCUCAGUAAUUUUUAUUUUUUUAUUUUUUAUUGUUUGUUGUUGACAGAAUCUUCAAUUCAUGAGGGGAAUUUUAGUAAAAAAUAUAAGGAAGCUUUUUGUCUUGCUAGAUUCAAUCUGGAAGGCAACAUAUCAUUAAGUUUAUGUUCACAUGAUCUUAAUGUUGUUUGAUUUGUUUUGCUGGAUAUGUUAAAGGUGAAGAUUAUUAAGAAUUGAGUGUUGGUUGAUUUCUUUUGUUUCAAAAGGGUACUGAUUAGGAUUUGUGAUGUUAACAGUGAAUACUAAAUGUAAGGUCUGUUUGGAUGCUAAAAAGAUAAGUCUCUAUAAAGGUCGGCCCUAGUACGAUCUCACUCAAAUCAAUAUUACUCGAGUUUAAUAUACAUGAUUAAUUUUGAGCUACCAAACAAGCCCAAUAUUGUUAAGGUAAGCUGAUUUAAUUUAAAAAUUAAUAUUACACAUCAAGUAGUUAUUUUAAUGAGUUAUAACUUGAAUUUGCUUUAUCUAAAUUAACUUUUUCUCAAGUCCACAAUGUGUCAUUUAGUAUGAGUAUCGGAAUGAGUCCAAUAUUGAUAAGAUAAUUUUGAUGCUCUAAUAACUACACAUUUGAUACAAAUAAAUUAUUGAUCCCGAAACUGAUUUUCACUUUAAUCCCUCAAAAUCUCAAAUUUAUUAAAAGGUCCUUGGAUCAAAAUCAAAAGAAUCUAGUUAUGUUUUCACUCACUAAAUAAUCCUAACACGUCACAUUAUCGGCUAAAAAUUAUAUAUUUCUCACUAUUUUGCAAUCUAAUCCCUAAAUUUUGCACUUUUUAUAACUAGAAAUCAUUUUUCUCUUUACGAAUCAUCCUUACAAUAUUCAAAGGACUUCAAAUUAUGCUUCACAAAAAACUUAUUCAUGAUUUCUAAAUUGCACUUCAUUCAAGUUUUUUCAAUUAAUAAUUUUGAAGAUAACUAUAUACAUGACAUUUUUUUUUCACAAACGGGAUAAUUCCGCUAAAUAUUAUGUUAUUGUAGUCUCUAAAGUUGUUGAAAUUUUUUGAUUUUUAUUUUUUUUGCAAUUCUAUCUUUUGGAUUGUUACAAGGCCUCUUGUAAAAUAUAAAUCUAUUAUUUACUUAAACAUUUAAGUAUUUUUCCCGUUUGUAAAAAAAUUAUAUCUAAAGGUCUCAUAACGAUGACUCGUCUAGAGUCUCAAAAUUCUUGGGGCUGCCCUGGUCUCUAUAACUUAUCUCUAUAAUUUGAUCAUUUUGUAUCUUGGUUGUCAUUUUGAGACUGUUCUACUGAAGAGCAUUAUCCACUUUUGGGUAUGCUUAAUGAGGGAAUAGGUAUUGAGAGUGGUCAUGUAAACUAUGGGCAAAAAAUCAUUUGCGUUCAUUUUACUUUUCUACACUAAUUUUUGGUCUUUUUGAUUUUGGGGGUAUAAUCAUUAUUUCUAUUUCUGGGCAUUUCAGUUUAUAAUAAGCAUGUUUGGGGUAGCUUAUAAGCCUGAGAGAGAAAGAAAAUUAUAUGUGAAUCCACAAAUCUCUAUUAGCUAUUUGUCUGGGUGAUUUUCUUUAUCAUGUUAUAAUUGGUGUGAUACAAUCUCAAUUUCUAUUUCUAUUUCAAUUCUAACCAACAUCUUCAUGUCUUGAAUGUCACUUCAAGGAGCAUCCGACAAAAUUUGAACGUCUAUAUCCAAGGGAUAAAAAGCACAAGAUGAGAAAUGAUUUAUUAUUAUUUUCCAAAAAAAGAAACUCUAUCUUCUUUGGUACAAAGUUUCCUAUAUAGAUAUAUUAUCAAAUUUUGUCUCUGAAAAAAUUUAUUUUGUUGGUUCGAGUCCUUAAAAGUGUCAAUUUAUACUGGACUAUGCAUAGUAUCCCUUGAGGCUAGUCUUCUAUGCAACAAGCUCCAUUUAGUGGCAUAGAAUCGUGUUGCUCCGUGGCACAUAAAAUAUUUUAAUUUGAAUUGAAUCUGAAAUUAAAAAGAAAACAAAAAUGUGCUGAGUUUAGGAUUGCCUGUAAUGGUCUAGGAUGGCACAAAAUCUAGGGUUUGUGCCGGAUCCACAAAAGUAUGUUAUGCAUUAACAAGGUAAUUUAUGAGGGUGGCUAAAGUGAAUUCUAAGAAAUGGCAGUAAGAUUACUUUUAUAGGCUGCCAACAUUAUUGAUGGAAAUUUAGGCACAUUGGUACAAAGUGUAAGAUUAGGAGAAUAGAAUAAAGUGGGAUAUAUGUUAGAGAGAUUUGUAUUAAGGUGAAUUACGAAGUUAAUACGGUGUACAAAAAAAUAUUUAAGUACUAAAAAGUAAAAGAUAAAACAAAAAAUAUUGAUAAUAUUUUUAUUUAUAAAUAAUUUUUUAAUCAUAAACUAGUUUUCAUGUAUGAUUAAUUUUUUGACUUGUAAGCCAUUCUUUUCUUAUAAGUAAUUUUUAUUUUGUACUUACAAGUGGAUUUUUACUUUUAGCCAAAUAUUUUAUCAUUAAGUGAAUUAUUUUACUUGUCGUAGAUUUUGAAUUGUAAGUGUAUGUGUUCAUAAAUUUUUACUUAUUAGCAAAUUUUUACUUAGUAAAUAAAUUAUUUAACAUAGAAGUGAAUGUUUUACCUAUAAGUUAAAUUUUUACUUGUAAAUGAAUUUUUAAAUUUAUGAAUGAAUUUUUACUUAUAUGAUAUAAUUGAGACAAAUGUAAAAUUUUGCCUACCACGUGUUAUAUAUCUUUAAGAUAAGAUAUUUCCAAAACUAAUUUUAACUUCACAAAUGGGCCCCCAAGUUUUUGUCCAAAUAUAAAUACGACAAUUACGAGUGAACCAAUAUUUUAAUAAGUGAAGUUUCAGUUUCAUGGUCCUUCAUAUUAAAUGAUGAGCAGGUUCAAAGCUUUUAAAAGGUCUUUCAAUAUAAUUUUGAAAUUGAGUCAAAUGUAAAUAUUUUUCAUGAAUAUUUUUAUAUAGAUGUUUAUCCCAUGUUAUCUAAAUUAGAUUCCAUAUUUUUUAAAAUUAUAAUUGCACAAAUGGUCCUCAAGUCUUCUAUGCAAAUCUAAACACAACAAUCACGGCUGAACCAAAAUGGUCAUAUUAACAAUUAUUGGAUAAGGUACCGAUGCUUUUAAAAGGUCACAACCACAUAUUCAUAUCAAUGAGUGUCAUGUUAUCUAAAAUUUGGAUUAGACAUUUCCAAAACAAAUUUGAACUAAUUGUAGAAGUACUACCAACGUGUUGCGAAUAUAUGAAAUCAAGACUAUCAUUUUUAUCAUGACACAUCCUUUCCAUCACUUGUAGUACAAUUUCACCAUAAAAAAUGUUCGUGCAUUAUUCAGUUCUAAUUAAAUGUAAGAGAAGAAAGAAACAACAUAAAGACUUUAUAUUUAUCUAAAAUAACAAAAUGAUGAAAGGAAAAAGAAUUUCCCUUUCAUCUUCAUCUCUCUAAAACAAGUAGUUGAAAUGCAGAACUAGGACCAUCUCUCUUUCUCUCUCUUAAACUAUCCUCUCUUGCCAUAUUUCCCCACUCUAUAUUCUCAAAACACUAAUUCCACUUGGCCAUUCCCCCAAACCCAAACCUUAUUGAAUAAUAUUCAAUCUUGUAGUAGGGUAAUUGCUAUGUCCACAAGUAAAUCAGUCAUCUGAACAUCUGCCAAGAAAUAACAUUGAAUUUACACAGUGGAAAAAGUUGGGAUUUAAGCAAAUAACUCUUAAACUAGAGAAUUAUAUCAGAAUCGCUUUAGAAAUCAUUGGUUAAUUGGUGUGUCGCAUCUACCCAUAAACAUAACAAUUUUAAUGGUUUGGUUUGGGUUUCGAUACUUUAAUUGCAGUUGGAAACUGAACAUGAAUGAUUAUAUAAAUAUUAAUUUCUUUUUUUCAAAGUUGGUCUAAAUUGAACAUGGAUUGGAUCAGAAAAUUACUAUCUUGACCUCCAAAAAAAUAUGAUAUUAAAAAUUUAUUUUAAAUAUAGGUAAUUGAACGUUAUAAAACCAUUAGGUGUAGAUUUGAUGUUUUUCAAAUGCAAUUGUAUUACUAAAAAUUUUGUUAGAUACAUCAAUUUAAAAUUUUUUUUAUUUAGUUAAAUAACCUUAAGUAAAAUUACAUAAAUAUGGUUUUAAUACAUUUAUCAUGUAAAAUAAUUUAUUGUUAAACCACAAUCAUAAACCUAAUUUUCUUUCUUUCUUUUCCCUCAACAGCCAUGCCAUAGCUUUUCCGUCGGUGGCCUUUGCGUUCUAUCACGAUGGAAAAUAAUUAUGUUUUUAGUCUGACUUUAUACAUGUUUGGGCAGCUAAGAGAGUUCUUUAGGCCGUCUAAUUGAGUUCUGAUAAUCUUGUUUUUAUUUAUUUCAGAUUCUGUUUCCUCUAGGAAGGAUACUUGUAACAAUUUUCAGAUGUUUGUGGUUACAUCAUGUUUGUGGUUACAUCAUUUAUAACACUUAUAAUUGGAGCAAAUGAAGCCAAGGCAGCCGAUUCAAUGUAGGCAAGUAAACAUAAAUUAUUUAAUGUCGUCUUGAAUUCUUACGUUAAACAGGAAGAUGACAUCUAGUAUGAGGCUUUCUACCAAGUGUGUGUCUUUCCAUCACUUGUAUUACAAUUUCUCCAUAAAACUUUUAAAAAAAAUAAAAAUAAAUCAUGCAUUUUUCACUUUUAAUUUAAAUGUAAGAAACGAAAGAAACAACAUAAAGACUUCUUCUUCAUCUAAAAUAACAAAAUGAUAAAAGCAAAAAGAAUUUUCUUUUCAUCUUCAUCUGUCUAAAACAAUUGCAACAGAAAUGUAGAAACCCUGUCUCGCCAUAUUUCCCCACUCUAUAUUCUCAAAACACUAAUUUAAUGAUGUCGUUCCAGCUACGAUAUUUUAAUUGUAGUUGGAAACUCAACAUGAUUGAUUAAAAAUAUUAAAUAAACUAAAUACAAAUAUUAAUUUUUUUUUUUCAAAAUUUGUCUAAAUUGAACAUGGAUUGGACCACAAAUUACUGUCUUAACCUCUAAAAAAAUUAUGAAUGCUAAAAUGUUAAUUUAAAUAUAGGUAAUUUUGUCAAUUGUCACUUACCAACUACCCUAAUUUCCUACACCAAUCAAUCCUUCAUGAUUGAUAGUUCAUACUUUAGACUCCAAACCCUCUUUACACUUGAAAUGUUGAAGGCUAAAAAGCUCUGCAAUAUCAUUGAUUAAUAGAUAUUUUGUAUAUAUGUGUUUAUGUGUUGGGGGGGAGCGUUUGUUUGUUUCAUUGUCAAUAAUGUGGGAAUAAAAAGUGAAUUAAAAAAAAGUACAUCGAAAAACGAAAAUUUAAAACGUAAUAAAACAUAAGGUGUAGGUUUGAUGUUUCUCAUGGGCAAUUCUAUAACUACUACAAAUUUUGUUAGUUACACCACAAUUUUGGGUUUGUUUUUUAUUUACUUAAAUAGCCUUAAAUAAAAUUACAUAAAUGAUGUUUUAAAAUAUUUAUCACAUAAAAUAAUUUAUUGCUACACCAUGAUAAGUGCAUUUUGUGUACUUAACGAGUCAUAUUACUAAGCUUUCAUGUCGUGAAAUUAUUGAAUUUUACUUAUUUUUGAUUACUUUUUGUUUGCUUCAGUGUUUGACCAGUUUUGAAGCAAUUGGAGAAGAAAAUGAUCAAUUGGCUAUUAAAUAGAAGUUUGUGGACCAAAUCUCACUUGAAUAAAAGUUGGAGAAUCAAAAUUGAGAGUGAACUCAAGGACUAAAGUGCACUAAUUUAAAAGAAGUAAGGACUUGAAGGGAAAGUGACACUUAGUUGGGCUUUGAAAUUGGACUUGCAAUAGGAGUGAAAUUGAUGAGGAAUUGGAUUCUUUUCCAGUUGGAGUAAUAAUUGGCAAUUGAUGGGAAUAGAAUUAAGGGGUAAUUACAUAAAUACCCACAAAAUGGGAGUCAUUUAGAAAAAUCAUGAUAAAAGUUAUUUUGAAGUAAAAAAUACGGUAAUUUUUUCAUUUAGUGUUCAACGGUAAUUUUAUUAAAUUGAAUCUGAAAUUAAAAAGAAAGUCAAAUGUGUUGCCCUAGCAAAAACUCAUAUUUUGACGGUUUAACACGACACGACCCGACAAAAAUUAGGGGUUGCGCCCAAUUCAUGGAAGUUGUUUGAGGAGAAUUCACAAAGCAUGCAGGUAGUGAGAUAUUAAUGACCACAAAAGGAAAUAAAAUCAUGUAAGUGUGCAUUAACAAGACAAAUGAGGAGGGCAGCUAAAGUAAAUUCUAAGAAACGACAGUAAAGUAAAUUUAGGGCAUCGUCGUAUAAAGUGCAAGAUCAAGAGAAUAGAAUAAGGGGGGGAUUUGUGUUACAGAUAUUUGUAUCAAGGUGGAUUAUGAUAUACUAUUUUAUAACAGUGUUUGAUAUUAUACCAUAUCAAAAAAAUACUCAUAUAUCAAAAACAUUUUAACAAUAAAUAUACACACACAUACACGUUUCAUAAACUUAUGAGUCAUUCUUUACUUUUCAGUGAAUUUUUAUUUUUAACCGAAUGUUUUAUAUACAAGGUGAAUUUUUAUACUUAUAGUAUAUUUUUACUUUUUCAUAUCAUUGCAUAAUCGAGACAAAUGUAAAAAAAAUAAAAAAAUAAAAAAACUAAAAAAACAUAAAAAAAUUCAAUCAUAUCUCUAUGUCAAUGAGUAUCUCGUGUUAUCUAAAUUUUUUAUUAGGUCCUUGUGCCCUAUUUUUCUUCCAAAAAAACAUCAUUAUUUUUCAAAAGAUAUAUCGGUCCUUUUUUACUUACAUUUUAAUGAAAUGUUGAAGGCUUUCUAUCACAAGAGAGAAAGUAAUUUUCAAAUUAAGCAUCUAUUUUGUAGAAAUUAAAAUUAAUUUCAAUCAAAGCCAACAAUUAAUUUUAACUACAUAUUUUACGGGCCUCAUAACUUUUCAAUCACACAGUUAUCAACUAUUAUCAUAAUUUAUUAAAAUCUAAUUUUAAUCCCCAUCAAAUAGGGGGUCAAAAUUGUGCAUUUUGUAUAAAUUCCAUUUUACUAUCUGAUGAAAGUAAAUUACGUGAACCAUCAAGGGUAAAAUCGAUAAUUUGGAUGAGCUAUAUAUCUAUCCUACUCAACCUACUGUAACGUAAAUUUUAUCGGCCUCAUUUUUAUUAUUUCAAAAGUCAACAUCAUAUCUAGCAAAAUUUCAAAAUAAUAUCCAAAAUAGAAGCAUCUACGGAUAUAUCCUAGACUAAUUUGUACCACAAAUGGUCGCCCAAGUCCUUUGUCUAAAUAAGUCUGAACAUCUACGGAUCUAUUGAAUUAAAUGCUAGAAAAGAAACAACACAAUAUAGAAACUUUUGUUCAUCUAACAUAAUAAAAUAAAAAGGGAAAUUAUUUGUUUUAUAGAUACAUUAUAUAUACGAAGCUUGUUUUCAAAAUGUUUAUAAAUAAUUUAAUUUAUAAAUAAAAUAAAAAUAAGUUGUGGAUAAGUAGCUAGAUAUUACUUAUAGGUCCCAAUAAUUUGUGGGAAAAAAUAAUUUAAUUGUUUAUUAACAGUUUAUAAACAUUAUCUAAACAUAGGAAAAGAAUGAAAGGAGAAUGUUGAUAAAGGAAUUACCUAGAAUGCGUAUGGACAAAAUUUUCCCUUAAGAAAUAAGGCAUGUGCACACAAACCACUUUGACAAAUCAAUUGGAUGGCAGUUAACGAAAAUGAUAAUUUUGUAGUAAAAGAUUCAAAUGAGGACGGCAGGGCUUUUGGAAACAAGGUCCAUACGCAUCUAAUAGGUUUACCUUUUAGAAUGAAACACCAGUCCCAUAUGAAUGCACAAGAAGGAUCUCAAGUUUGCAGUUGAAUGGAUGAAGCUGCCCUAAGUUGGAUCAUGAUGAGGAAAAAAAUUCAUAGUUGGUUCUUAAGAUUUAUGGUUGUAGAAGAAAAAAUUCACCUAACUUUUCCUGAGUGAAAUAAACAAGAUGAUUGAAGAGGUGAAACUGUGGCGUAGGCACAUUAUUCAAUUUAAAGAGAAACGGAAGAAAUCCUAUUUGAGGGCUUUGGACAAUUCGAAGUGAAGUUGGAGAUUCAUAAGAAUCAACAUGGUAUUAGUCAAUUAGAAUAUAAUUUGUAUUCAUAUGUCCACAUAAAGUAGGUUUUUUAGCUUUCUAUUUGUAAUGAAAGUACGUAUAAAUCUAUAUUACAUAAAAACUAAAAUUUCCUUUCGUCUCCCUAUAAAUAAAGUGUUUAUUUCACCAUUUAUUUAUCCCAAAUUUUUACGAUAUUUUUAGCAAAGCACCAUCACAAUCUCGAUGUAUUUUUCAGGCUCCACUAAUAUAAGACAAAGGGCAUUAUAAUUUUUCUACCAAAAUAUGAAUGGAACGUUAGUGAGUACAAGGGAAAAGGACAUAAACUGGACCUCUAAUCAAAAGUACAAAAGAAAAAAAAAUAUUAAAUAGGGAAUUACUACCUCCUAUACUAUAUAAAGAAAGAAUAAUAGAGCCUAAAUACCAUUUAAAGCGGAAGGCCAUAUUUGUGAAUUUGUACAAGGACAAUAAGUCGUCGAGGUAAGUUGAGAAUGCUAUACUCCUAGUGCUGCGUCAAUUGCAUCCAUCUGAAGUAAGUGAAUUAGCAAUAUGGUUUUCCUCUUGAUAUAUGUAUAAAAUAGGAUCACGAUCGAAGGAAAAAGUUGUAUGAUAUAUCUAAGAGUAUUGUGGAUAAACCAUGAUCCUCUACCACUGGUAAUGUAGGUCGUAGCUAUAAAGAAGCAUGUCUAUCCUCAAGUCCUAAAAUCCAAGUCAACAUGCAAGAUGGAUCCAAUCAAGAAGCUUACAGAUCAACAUAAAAUGAAGUGAAGGCACGAAUACCACCAUCUAUUAUAGAGUGACUAAAUAAUAUUCUUCCAUAUUAAAGUGUUAUAUUGUUACUUCUAUAAAAAUAAUAAUACAAUAUUCUUCUAUAAUACUUUUACGAAAUAAAUUUCAUUCAAGAAAACUCAUCUAUCAAUUAGUAUAGACAAAAUAAAAUUUACUUCUUUGUUAUACAAUUCAAAAUUAAGAGAAUACUUAUAUUUUUUUUGAAGAAAAAAAGUGUUUCUUUAUGAGCUCAAUUGUUAAAAUUUUGUGUCUUUCUUUCAACAUAAGAGAAAUUGCUUUUUCCUAACUCAACUUAAUUAGGGAUUCGAAAGCAAAAAGAUGAAUAAGUUUCACUAACUUAGUUGACUAGAACUUCAUGCUGAUAGUAUAAAUAAGUUAGCGGAAAAUAAUAAAGUAGAGAAGUAAUUAAGCAUACGAGCAUUUUAAUAAAAAAAUCAAAACUCUAUAUAUGGGGAAGAACUAGGAUGGUAAUGAAUAAAAUAGUCAUAUAACUAGGGUUGCAGGUAUAUAAUGAUAAUUUAUUAGUAUAUAAUUUUCAGCAAUUUGUUUAUUGUCUAUUUUAAUUAAUAAAUGGUAUUAUUUAUUUCCAAACCUACUUGUCUUAUUAUAGUCAGCAAAUGUUAUUUCAACAAACCUCUAGGAUGCAAAUGCACUUUUCCUAUAUUUGUUUGAGAUAAGGUAGUGAUAAGAAUUUAUUUGUUUAUUUAUUUAUUUAUUUUUUGGGAGGAUAAACCAACCACAUUCCGUGGCAUGUAUUAAUAAAAUGAAAGAAAAAUUAUUACAAUAGGGGAUACAUUAAGCUCCUGUUUGAUUUCGAUAAAUAACAUAAUUUUAGUAGAUUUUUAUAAAAAUUGAUGGCAUGCGAAGUGAGAAAGUUAUAGAUCCUAUGAAAUGUAUAGUUAUAAUUAAUUAUUGAGUUUGAUUUAGAUUUUAGUUGACUUUUGAGUUGGACCAAAGAGGAACUAAAUUAGUUGGAAGAUUUGGUACUCGUAUUAUUUUGAUGUUAGUGUUGAUCUCAAUUUGGUAAAAACUUAAAGAAGACAACAAAAAAUGUUUCACAAUAUACUCAUUCCAAGUUUAUUGAAAUAUACAACAUGAUACGGGUAAAUAAAGAUGGCUACAUUUCCACGAUGUAGUCUCCAAGCAAAAACUACAGUUUAUUUAAUUAAAGCGAGCUUAAUGUAGUCUCCAAGUAGAGAUCUACAGUUUAUUUAACUCAACCAGCUUCACAGAUAGAUAAGUAAUUUAUUCGGCUGCUGUUGCAGCAAAGCAUCAAGCGAUUACUAUCUCCUCGACGAAAGGCUCUUCAUUUGGGCAAAUUUUUCCGCAUGAACACUGGUCGUUAAAUGCUGAGCAGCAUCCUCCUGGAAAACCCUGAAGCUUGCAGAAUUGUUUACAAAGAUCCACGUCACAACGUCGAACUAGAACAUCCUCCACGAGAGGACGACUCGUGAUACGUGGACAAACUCCUGUGCAACGACACGGACCAGAUGGUCCUGGGCAGCAUGCUGGCUUACCAAAAAGUGAGCAAUAUUUUCUACAAAGAUCCCAGUUACAUUGUUUCGCAUCCACCACAAGAGGACCACUCAUAUCUGUUUAAAACAAGGAAAGAGUAUGAGAUACAGAAACACAGUUUAAUAUAUAAUAUAGUCCAAAGUAAACAAAUACGAAUGCUUUGCUAGCCUGCUAUGAAAAUUAAAGUUGUUCUGAUUAUUUCAAAUUUGGUAAAUUAACAUGUAUAUAGUAUGUAACAAGCUAUGGAGUUGAAUAAAUUACGAACCAGUGGACAGGGAAACCAACAGCAGGAGGGACACUAUUGCAAAUGACCUCACAGAGAACUCCAUAAUUAAGAAAGAGAGAGAGAUAAUAGGAAGCUUGAGUGAAAGACUCCCUGCUUGCGUCUCUUUAUAUAAUGUUUUAAGCGUGCUACCAAAAUUGAUAUAAAAUGUUGGAAAAAUGCUUGUUGUACAUUAUCAUAUUUACAUAAUUUUUUACAGAUUGAUGUAUAAUUUUUAAUUUUUUUUAGUUGAAAGAUUUUGACCCAAACAAAUCUCGUCACAUUAUCUGUCUGUAAACAAAUAUGUAAAUUGUGAUAUAUAUGUAGUACAAACUUUUACGUAAAACACAACUUUUUUAAUGGAGGGUUUGCACAAGAUGUUGACACGUGGACUUGUUGAGGCUUUUAGAUUUACUUUUGGAUAACUUUGCAUGUAACUUUUGAGAGAAACUGCUACAGUUUCUUGGUUCUCCUUCUUUCUUGAAAACUUCACUCGAGAUUCCUAAUAUCCUGCUCCUCCUUUCUGACUUUCGGUUUCUUACUUGGUGAAGAUGAUUAAGAACUAACUGUUCUUUGAUUUGUUUUGUUCUAAAUGGGUAGAUUAGGAUUUGUGGUGUUAUCAGGAAUCGUAAACUUAGGGUAUGUUUGGAUCUAAAAAAAAUUAAGUCACCAUAACUUUAUCUUUUGUAAUUUGACCAUUUUGUAUUUGGAUAUCAUUUUGAGACUGUUCUACUAUAGAGCAUUAUUUUAAUAUUGUGUUUCGUAUUAUACCACAUUAGAAAAAUAAUAUACGAGUACUAAAAGCUGAAAAAAAAAUAUUUUAUGUAUAAAUAAUCUAUAAUCGUAAUUUUAUUGACUAUAUUUUUAUGUAUAGUUAAUUUUUGACUUCUAUGUCAUUCUUUUCUUAUAAGUAAUUUGUAUUUUUGUACUUACAACUAAAUUUUUUUACUUUUAGCCAAAGACUUUACCUGUAAGUGUAUUAUUUUUCUCAUCGUAGAUUUUACUAUUGUUAGUGUAAUUAUGCAUAAUUUUUAGUAAAGUUUUAUUUUCUAUAAAUUAUUUAACAUAGAAGUGAGUGUUUUAUAAAAACCUUAAUUUUUUACUUGUGAGUGAAUAAUUUUUCAAUUUUUGAGUUAAUUUUUACUUGUAUAAAUGGUCUUUUCAUGUCAUUGUAUAAUUGAGACAGACGUAAAGACUAUAAGCACGUUAUACAAAUUUUGGAUUAGAUAUUAAUGGUAAAAAUGGUCCUCAUUUCUUUUGUCCAAAUCUAAGCACAAAAAUCACGUGAACUAAAUCUAGUAAGUGAAGUUUCAGUUUUGUGGUCCUUCAUAAUUAAAGACGAGUAGAUACAAAUUGACGAGAAGACGACACAACUCAAGAUCAUUAAAAGGAUUCUAGAUUGGAUGGAUGUAUUCAUCUUUUUUCUUCUCUAUCAUCAAAACUUUAUAUUCUUGUUAUUGAUUGUGUCCAGCUUAACUCAAUUAUCUACACCAUGUCAAUUCAAAGUUGCUCAUUUUUUGUUAAAUUCUUGUUAUUUGUGUUGCUUGUUUUUUAUUUUAUUAUUUUAUUUUGAUGAUUGUUCAACAUUAAAAUGUGUUUGUGAUUUAUAUUAUUUUCUAGGGGUUCGAUAUAAAUUAGCUUAUGGUAAUAAACAACAUAGGGUAUGCUAGUUGAUAGAAAAAUAUUUGUUUCAUUUCAUCUUAACAUUGCCAGAGUCAUAAUCAUACAGAAGUUGUAUAAUGGAAGUUUGGACAAUCUUUUGAGAAGUUAUGUAGAAAAUGAUACGAAAAUGAGACAUUAUUUUCCAUGAAUUUAAAUUCAUUUAUAAUUAAUUUACUAGCCAAACUACUAAAGAAAGCACACUUAUAGUUGUUUAUGGCCAAUAUCUCUUAAGUGCUUUGGACUUGACUCUACAUCCUGUUACUCAUCAUUCUAGUGGAGACACUAAACAAAGAGAAGUUUAUUAAGAAAAUGCAUGAUCAAGUUCAACAUACGACAUGAAAGAAAAAUGAGAAGUACAUGAAGAUUGCGAACAAGCACCACAAAUUCAUUAUACAACAAGCUUAAUUCCUCAUUUUGUGUAGUGAUAUUUCUUGGGUGUUGAUAACAAGAAGUAUUAAAUAGAGAUAUAAUAGAAAAUUAAGUGAUUAAUUAUACUAUUAACAAGGAAAGAGGCCUAUAAUUUGAGACUAUUACGAAGAAAAUUGGAACCGGAUUAAUAAAAUACUAAUGUGUUGGAGAAAAUACGAGAUUAUAAGUAUAAUUUGAAAUAAAGAAUGCAAGAAAAAUGUAAUUUGCAGAGAAUAGAGAUUUUAAUACAAUAUGGAGAAAGAAUACAAUUUUUUUUAUAUUUACAAUGUUUCUAACUUCUUCUAAAUUAUAAUGAAGAGCCAACUAUAUAUAGGGGAUAUCCAAAACUUAAUAGGAGAGUGAUGGUUGAAGUAGAAUGCAAGAAAUGACAUUAAAAAUUGAAUAGGAGACAAAACAAAGCACACUCCCUAUUUCUAUAUAUUGAGGCGCGGACCCGGUAUUUCAAUAUAAAGUUGUCAGCCCCUACGCCCCUCGUCUCCAUUCCAAACAACUUUCAAGGAUGUUUUUCUUCAUUCCAAAGUCCUUUUCAAGUCUACUUGAAAUUUGGAUUUUUAAAUAGAACCUUAUCUAAAAUUUAUCAAAUAGGCAUUGAACAGGUUUUCCAAAAAAAAUUCCAAAUAGAAUUUCUCUUAACGUACAAAUUUGCCAUCUAUGGCUUUUAAAACUUUUUGUUGAACCAAAAUUCCCCUUAUCUUUUGUUGCCGAAAUGAAAAAUCUUCUUUCCCAUUGAAAAUCCAACUUUGAAAUGUGAAGACGUUUUGAGAAAAUCGAACAACCAAAUGCACAGAUAAGUCACACAAAGUAAUCCUAAAAUCGCAGUAUACACCGUUCUAAAUUCCUAGGGUUUUGUAAGAUUCGCUAUUUUAGAUCAAGAAAAUGUUCAAACGGAUCAAGUCCACGUGUUCUAAUAGGAUAAUCAAUGCAACACGAAUGUAUAUUAACAAAAAAUUAAAAUUCUCACAUAUAUAGUCUCACACAGUGACUAUAUAACAAUUAGAGCAGAAACUUAAUUACCAAUUUGCGAUCAAAUUCAACACUUCAAACAUGGCAAAUAAACCCUAAAUUUCAAGCAUAAGCAAUGUUACCCCUUACGAUAACCAAAUCCUAAUGUCACCCCCACACAAUAACACGCUAAUGCUAAAAUUUAAAUUGGAAUAAACUAAUAUACCAAAGCGUACCAAUCUGAGCUCAUAAAUUACGAGGGAUACAAAUUUAUCACUUUAGAACUACUACUAUUCGUCCUAAAGUCUCCAUUAAUUGCAGGUAUCAAUCAGCCACAAUCGACUCCCGAACGUGCGAAGAAUAAAUCUAUCUAGAUUCCACUGUAUAACCUAAAAUAGAAAACUAAUGACACCAAAAUAUCAGAAAUGAUGUUAGGAAGAAACUGCCUUAAGAGAUCUCCCGCCUGCAAACAAAUCGCGCGCCCUCAAGUGCAGUCAAGUUAUUCUGCUCGUUGGUCUCACUUCUUCAUCGAUCACACGCAUGACAGUUGGUGCCGGACCGCUGUACGUCACACUAGUGAUCUCCGUUUCACCACCACUGGAUUGGGCGAAAAUUGCACAAAUAGAUCUGAUUUUUACAUAGUUUUUUGACAAUUUUUUUAUCCUUUUUUGGCCCGUUUCUACCUAUUUCCUGGAUUUUUUUGGUAUGUUUCACAAAUCAAAUCCACCAUCUUGAAGCUGUGAUACCAAUUUUCCCUAAAGCUUGCUCUAAGAAUCAUCAAAAUGGUGUUUUUUUAAGCUUAGUUUAGUGUCACCUUUCUCUACUAAACAACCAAUCCAAUUGACUCCAAUUCACAACUUCGGUUGCUUCUUAAACUCACUCACUAAGGACAAGAUAAUGAUAAUGAUUUGCUACCUCAAUGGCAAGAAGAAAACACCACAAAGGAGGCAAGGAAGAGAUCAAAAUCAAGGAGCUAACCAUUGGGUUUUUUUUUACACAAAGGCAACUGACUUUUUCUCUCAAUGGGCAGCCACGUUUUCUUCACUUUUCUCGGACAAAUCAUACUACAAAAUGGCUAGGGUUAGGACCAUAUAAAAAGGGUUAGGUUAGGCUUUUAGUUAGACUAAUAAUAAAGCUAAAUGGGCCAAGAUUCAAAGUCAUCCAAGAGGGAAUAUAAAUGGGCCGGGUAGAGCGCUGGAUUUGGUUGUUGGUACUUAUUUCACUCAUCAUUCAAGGCCUAUGAAAUAUAUAUUUCCAUGUUAACAUCAUAGCCCGAAAUUACACAACCCUUAGUGCAGAUCUCAAUUUGAUAAAAACUUAAAGAAGACAACAAAAAUUAUUUUACAAUAUACUCAUUCCAAGUUUAUUAAAAUGCUAAGCAUAAUACUUGUAAUUAAAGAUGGAUACACAUGGACAAUGUAGUUUCCAAGCAGAGACUACACUUUAAUGCAGUCUCUAAGCAAAUAUCUAUGUUUUAUUUAAUUAAAGACAAUGUAAUAUCACGAAACAGAGUUCAUUAAUUCAACAAACUUCUUAGAUAGAUAAGUAAUUUAUUCUCCAACUUUUGCAGCAAUGCAUCAAGCGAUUACUAUCUCCUUGAUGGAAGGCUCCUCCACUGUUGCUCUACUCAUCACCUCCUCAGUAAUUACUUUUUUAUACAGUGCAAUUCAUGAGGGGAAUUUUAGUGCAAAACACAAGGAAGCUUUUUGUCUUGCGAGAUUCAAUCUGCAAGGCAACAUAUCAUUAAGUUUAUGUUCACAUAAACUUAAUAUAAAGGCAAGAUCACACGAUAUUAAAUUCAAGAAACAAGAAAACCUUAAUCAAACAGAAAUAAAACAUUAGAAAAAUGCCACUCUGCCUGAAAAUGUUUUGACACUAGGUGUGAUUGUCUAUCCUCACAAAGUGUGAGGGUUCCACAUGAAUUAAAUAAUGUCCAACCCUCGAGGUGGGUGUGUUCAGUCAUUUCUUAUGUCAAUCAUUAUGUUCCUCUAGCUUGAUCAAAAAAAUUAGGGUCGCGCCAAAUUCACGAAAGUUGUUUGAGGAGAAUUCACAACAUAGGCAAGUAGUGAGAUAUUAAUGACCACAAAAGGAAAUAAAGUCAUGUAUGUGUGCAUUAACAAGACAAUUGAUGUUUAUUUAUUUUAUUUUUAACUGAAUGUACUUUUGAGUCAUUCUUUACUUUUCAGUGAAUUUUUUAUUUUUUAUUUUUAACUGAACGUUUUAUUUACAAGGGGAAUUUUUUUACUUAUAAUAUAUUUUUUACUAUUCAUAUCAUUGCAUAAUUGAGACCCAAAAAAAAAAAAUCAAUCUUAUUUUUAUGCAAAUGAGUGUCUUUCAAAUUAAGCCUCUAUUUUGUAGAUAUUGAAAUUAGGAUUUUAAUCUAAAUCAAUGUCAACAAUUGAUUUUAACCACAUAUUUUAUGGACCUCAAAAAUUUUCAAUCCUGUAUCAACUUUUAUUAAAAUCUAAUUUACUAUCAAACAGGGAUCAAAUUUGUGCAUUUUGUAUUAAAUUCCAUUUUGCUCUAAUGAAAGUAAAUUACGUGAACCAUAGAGGGUAAAAUCGACAAAAUGGAUGAGCUAUCUAUCUAUCCUACUCAACCUACUGAAACGUAAAUUUUGUCGGCCUCAUAUAGAUAUAUAUAUACACACACAAAACGUCCCUACCUUUUGUUUUUUUGGCGCAUUUCAUUCCUACCUUUACCUUUUCUUGUGGAAAACAUCAUUUUCAUCAUUUUUCUCAAUAAAAAGUUAUAAAAGGACUAAUAUUCCCUUCUAUUUAAAUUUAAAAAAAUAAAGAACUAAUUGCAAUCAUAGUUCCAAUUUUUAAAAAAGUUCAAAGGAGAAAGUGGAGGUGGAGAAUUUUUUUUAUCUUUUUAUUUGAAACUACAAUUGCAUUUAGGUCUUUAUUUUUUUUAUUUAAAUAGAACGGUAUAUUAGUCAUUUUAUAGCUUUUUAUUGAGAAAAAUGAUGAAAAUGAUAUUUUGCACAAGAAAAUGUAAAGGUAGAGAUGAAAUACGCCAAAAAACGAAAGGUAGGGACGUUUUCCACAAAAAUCAUGAAAGGAAGGGACGUUUUAUGCUAAUUACCUUACAUAUAUAUAUAUAUAUAGACUAAUUUGUACCACAAUUGGUCUCCCAAGUCUUCUGUCUAAAUAAAUAUAUACACUACAAUCACAAGUGAACAGAAAUUAGAAUAAGUGAAGUAAGUUCUAGUUUCGAUUUUACCAUUUGUACAAGAAAAAUGCACAUAAGGUUUUACAAGUGUUGAGUACCAUAAUUGCUUUGAAAGUCUUUUCAUAUCAUAUAAUUGAGGUAAAUGUAAAAUUUUUCAAACCUUCAUGAAUUAUUGAAUAAAUGUUUGAAAAGAAACGAAACAAUAUAGAAAUUUUUUGUUCAUCUAAAAUAAUAAAAUAAAAAAGGAAAUUAUUUAUAUUAUAGAUAUAUUAUAUAUAAGAAGCAUGUUUCCGAAAUAUUUAUAAAUAAAAUAGAAAUAAAUGGUGGAUAAGUAGGUAUUACUUAUGGUUUCCAAUAAUUUGUGGUUAAAAAUAAUUUGUUCGUUUAUAAAUAGUUUAUAAACAUUAUCUAAACAUAAGGAAAGAAUGAAAGGAGAAUGCUGAUGCGGGAAUUGCCUAGAAUGCGUAUGGAUAAAAUUUUCCCUUAAGAAAUAAGGCCUGUGCACACAAACCAUUUUGACAAAUAAAUUAGAUGGUAGUUGAUGAAAAUGAUAAUUUUUGUAGUAAAAGAUUCAAAAUGGGGACGACAGGGCUGUUGCUAGGAGUUCAACAAAUUCGCACACGGUAUUUUCUUGAAAUUGAUGAAGGGUGUGUGGUGGAAAAUUUGUGUCGAAGCCUUGGUGAACUCCUAGAAAAGGCAACUAAGAAGUUUCGCCAUAAUUUCUAGCUAGGUUAUCGGCAUGGAAGGAUUUGAAAUUUUUAGAACUUAGUGAUUCCACAAGCAUAUAUACAUUAUGGUGGCGUAUGUUGGUUCUCAGUCUUAAGAAUUAUGGUCGUAGAAGAAAAAAUUCAAGACACUUUUCGUGAGUGAAAUAAACAAGAUGAUUGAAGAGACGAAACAGUGGUGUAGGCACAUUAUUCGAUUCAAAGAGAAAUGGAAGAAAUCCUAUUUGGAGGCUUUUGACAAUUCAAAGUGAAGUUGGAGAUUUGUAAGAAUCGACAUGGUAUUAGUCGGUUGGGAUAUAAUUUGUAUUUAUAUGUCAACAUAAAGUAGGUUUUUAGCUUUCUAUUUGUAAUGAAAGUUUUUAUAAAUCUAUAUUAAAUAAAAACUAAAUUUUACUUUUGUCUCCCUAUAAAUAAGUGUUUCUUUCAGCAUUUAUUUACCCCAAUUUUGUAUGAUAUUUUUAGCAAAGCACCACUACAAUCUCAAUAUAUUUUUCACGCUCCGCUAAGUUAAGAUGAAGGGCAUUAUAAUUUUUCUACCAAAAUAUGAAUGGAACAUUAGUAGGUACAAGGGAAAAAGGACAUAAACUUGACCUCUAAUCAAAAGUACAAAAGACAAAAAUAUUAAAUAGGGAAUUACUACCUCCUAUACUAUAUAAAGCAAGAAAAAUAGAGCCUAACAGACCAUACUUGUCAAUGUGUACAGUGACAUUAAGUCAUCGGGCUAAGUCGAGAAGGCUAUACUCCUAGUGCAGCGUCGAUUGCAUCCUUGUGAAGUAAGUGAAUUAGCAAUCUGGUUUUCCUCUUGAUAGAAGUAUAAAAUAGGAUCACAAUCAAGGGAAAAAGAUGUAUGAUAUAUCUAAGAGUGCUGUGGAUAAACCAUGAUCCUCUACUACUAGUGAUGUAGUUAAUAGCUAUAAAGAAAGCCUGUCUAUCCACAAGUCCUAAAAUCCAAGUCGACAGGUAAGAAGGAUCCAAUCAAGAAGCUUGCAGAUCAACAUAAAAUGAAGUGAUGGCACGAAUCCACCAUCUAUUCAAGAGUGACUACCUAAUAUUCUUCCAUAUUAAUGUUAUAUAUUGUUACUUCUAUAAGAAUAACAAUACAAUAUUCUUCUAUAAUAUUUUACGAAAUAAUAAAUUUCAUUCAAGAAAACACGUCUAUCAAUUAGUAUGGACAAAAUAAAAUUUACUGCUUUGUUAUUCAAUUCAAAAUUAAGAGAAUACAUGCCUUAAAACCUUUCGCUCGAGCCUCUUGUCUUGAAUGCAGUCCAUUGCCCAUAAUCUAAUAAGGUAAGGAAGAAUAACAAACUUCAAAACUUCUUCCAUCAUUUCAUUACAAAACCAAAAAACCUGAAAAAGAUGGAUUAUUCUCUAAUCAUGUUGGAGACGGAUUCCUGAACCCUGUUCACGUCAUGUCACGUCGAGGUACAGUAAAAGAAAAAAACAUUAUUCUUUAUGAUCUCAAUUGUUAAAAUUUUGUAUCUUUCUUUCAACAUAAGCGAAAUUGCUUUCUCCUACCUCAACUUGAUUAGAGAGUCGUAAGCAAAAAGAUGAAUAAGUUUCACUAACUCAGUAGACUAGAACUCCAAACCUAAUUGUCUUAUUAUGGGCAGCAAAUGUUAUUUCAACAAACCUUGGGGAUGCAAAUGCACUUUCCCUAUGUUUAAUUGAGAGAAGAUAGUGAUAAGAUUUUAUUUUAUUUAUUUAUUAUUAUUAUUUUUUUUUUUUGGGAGGAUAAACCAACUACAUUAAGUGACAUGUAUUAUCAAAAUGAAAGAAAAUUUAUUACAAUAGGGGAACACAUUAAGCUAAUGUUUGAUUUCAAUAGAUAUCUUAUUUUUGUAGAUUUUGAUAAAAAUUGAAGACAUGCAAGGUGGGAAAGUUAUGGAUCCCAUGAAAUGUAUGGUUAUAAUUAAUUAUUGAGUUUGAUUUAGAUUUUAAUGCACUUUUUGAGUUGGAUGAAAGAGGGAAUAAUUAGAUGGAAGAUUUGAUACUUGAUGCUAGUGCUGAUCUCAAUUUGAUAAAAACUUAAAGAAGACAACAAAAAUUAUUUGACAAUAUACUCAUUCCAAGUUUAUUAAAAUACACAACAUGAUAUAUAAGCACUUGCAGGCGAAUAAAUAAAGAUGGCUACAUUUCCACAAUGUAGUCUUCAAGCAAAGACUACAGUUUAUUUAACUACAGCCAGUUUAAUGUAGUCUCUAAGCAGAGAUCUACAGUUUAUUUAACUCAACCAGCUUUACAGAUAGAUAAGCACUUUAUUCGCCUGCUGUUGCAGCAAAGCAUCAAGCGGUUACUAUCUCCUUAAUGAAAGGCUCUUCGUUUGGGCAAAUUUCUCCACAUGCACACUGGUCAUUAAAUGCUGAGCAGCAUCCUCCUGGAAAACCCUGAAGCUGGCAGAAUUGUUUACAAAGAUCCACGUCACAACGUCGAACUUGAACAUCCUCCACGAGAGGACGACUCGUAAUACGUGGACAACCUCCUGUGCAACGGCACGGACCAAAUGGUCCUGGGCAGCAUGCUGGCUUACCAAAAAGUGAGCAAAAUUUUUGACAAAGAUCCCAGUUACAUCCUCUAGCAUCCACCACAAGAGGACCACUCAUAUCUGUUUAAAAAUACGAAAGAGUAAAGAUAAACAAACACAGUUUAAUACAUAAUACAGUCCAAAGUAAACAAAUACGAAUGCUUUGCUAUGAAAAUUAAAGUUGUUCACGCUAUUUCAAAUUUGGUGAAUUAACGUAGUUGCUAAGCUAUGGAGUUGAAUAAAUUACAAACCAGUGGACAGGGAAACCAACAGCAGGAGGGACACUAUUGCAAAUGACCUCACAGAGAACUCCAUAAUUGAGAAAAAGAGAGAGAUAAUAGGAAGCUUUAGUGAAAUGUGAGUGAAAGACUCCCUGCUUGUAUCUCUUUAUAUAAUGUUUUAAGCGUUCUACCAAAAUUGUUAUAAAAUGUUGGAAAAAUGCUUGUUGUACAUCAUCAUAUUUACAUAAUUUUUUACAGAUUGAUGAUGAGUCAACAAGAAAAUGUGGAAUUUUUAAUUUUUCUUUUUUCAGUUGAAAGAUUUUGACUCAAUCAAAUCUCAUCGCAUCAUCAGUCAGUAAACAAAUAUGUAAGUUGCGAUGUAUAUGUAGCACAAAGGCUUAUGUAAAACACAACUUCUUUUAGUGGAGGGUUUGCACAAGGUGUUGACACGUGGAAUUGUUGAGGCUUUUAGAUUUUCUUUUGGAUAACUUUGCAUGUGACUUUUGAGAGAAACCACUACAGUUUCUUGAUUCUCCUUCUUCUUUCUUGAAAACUUCUCUCGAUUUGAGUCAUUUAUUUAUGUUACGAGAAAUUAAAUUAUCGACAUGUCAUAUUAUUAUCAAAAUUAGACUAGACAUACUCACUCACUCAAUCGUUAUAGAACAUUGCACAAAAGUUGGUCGAGCCUCGAUUAUUACCCUAGUAAAUUGUUGAGGACAAUUUAUUACCAGUGUUGCAAAUAAGACAAUAUAGUGUGUAUAAAAUUGUACAUAUUGCUUAUUAUUAUUAAUAUUAAAUGUGAUCCAGCAUUAAUUUAAAGCUGAAUGCAAGCUGGUGUCUAGACAUUGCCUUUACCAUGAGGAGGCAAAUAUCUUGAAAUUUGAUAUCAUCCUCCCUUCCGACUAACUUCCAAAUGCCCCCAAGUUUAAUUUACUGUAAUUCACUUGUACCAUCUCUCUCUCUCUCUCUCUCUCUCUCUCUCUCUAUAUAUAUAUAUAUAUAUGUGUGUGUGUACACAUAUAAUGAGUAUAACUGUGUUACUUGUAUUAAUGGUCUUUUCAUGCCAUUGUAUAAUUGAGACAGAUGUCAAAACUAAAAACACAUGUUAUACAAAUUUUGGAUGAGAUAUUAAUAGUACAAAUGGUCCUCAUUUCUUUUGUCCAAAUGUAAGCACAAAAAUCACGUGAACUAAAUUUAGUAAGUGACAUUUCAUUUUUGUGGUCCUUCAUAAUUAAAGACGAGUAGAUACAAUAGUUUGAAAGGUCUUUUUCAUAUCAUAGCAUAAUUGCGACAACGUAAAAUUUUUCUAAGCACACUUUUAUAUCAAAGAGUAUUCUAUAUUAUUUAAAUCAGAUUCGAUAUUUUCUAGAAUUAUUUAUACUAAUUGCUCCUCCAUAAUUUUUUUUCCAAAUCUGAACAUAACAUUACGAGUGUACCGAAAUUUUAAUAGGUGAAAUUUUAAGGAUCUAAAUGGGUUACUCAAAAAUUCAAAGGACUGAAUUGAAGAUGUUGAAAACUUUGAGGACCUGGGAUGAAAACACCUUGCGAACGGUGGGUAGGAGGUGUGAACGUUUCAUAGAACCUGUCAUGUCAUGCCUUGCUGCCAAAUUUCCUAGUUCGAGUUGGAAACAUAAUUUUUAAGGUUUGCGGUAUUCCAAUCACACUUUUUUUUUUUCACAUUUUAAAACUUUAAAUAGGACUUCAUAAUAGAUUGUCUUGGAGCUAUUCCAAAAGAAGAAUUCAUCCAUAUAUGGGGCAAAUUGACGACAAGACGACGACACAACUCAAGAUCAUUAAAAGGAUUCAAGAUUGGAUGGAUGUAUUCAUCUUUUUUCAUCUCUCUAUCAUUAAAACUUUAUAUUCUUGUUAUUGAUUGUGUCCAUCUUAACACAAUUAUCUACAUCAUGUCAAUUCAAAGUUGCUCAUUUUUUUUGUUAAAUUCUUGUUAUUUGUGUUGUUUGUUUUUUAUUUUAUUAUUUUAUUUUGAUUAUUGUUUAACAUUAAAAUGUGUGUGUGAUUCUAGAGGUUCGAUAAAAAUAGCUCAUGUUAAUAAACAACAUAGGGUAUGCUAGUUGAUAGAAAAAUCGGCACACCAUCUGAAGUCAAAUGAGAUAAUCUUUGUGAAUAAUAAAUGCUUACGUGUUCAUAAUUUAACUAAAAUUAAUUAGGUUCACAUAUGAGCAUAGAAUUGAUUGACCUUGAUAGUCGAUAGAGGCUUUUUAAUUAAAGCUGGAUCAUAUUUUCAAUUUAGGCAAGAAUUAACAAUUGAGAGGUAAUUGAGAAGUGAAUUAGGAUUACAAUGGGAGAUUGUUGAUCGUUGUGCUUUGCUUGAUAAUUUUACUCUAAGAUCUUAAUAUGCUCUCAAAUCACGUAGUUAAGUUGUUAAUUAGGGGAAAAUUUUCAUAACCUAAAAUAUUAAUCGUGUGUUUUGUUAAAUUUAGUUUUAAUUAAAGUAGAGUCUAUAAUUAACCUUCGUGGGACUACACAUGACUUAUUGAUAAAUGCGGGCUUAUUAAGCUUAUUCGGACCAUUAAACUUAGAUAUUUGCUAUUUUUAUUUGUAAUUUAUUACUUAAAUUUUUUUAUUUUUAUUUUAUAGGUGAAAACUGGAGAUUAAACGAUGAAUUGAAGGAAUUUAUGCGAGAACGAGCUAAAGAUGAAGGCAAACGAAAAAGACGACCAAAGACGCCGCUGAAAGAAGAUUUAAAAAAAAAAUCAGCAAGCGCCCAGCCCGAACAAAGAAUAGAAACUGUGGCGCCCAAGCACCACUGUUCCAGCGCCUAGGCGCCACCUGGGCCGUUUUUAAUUGUUUUCAAUGUUCCAGGGACCAAUGUUGCAAUUUCCUUUAGGUUUUAAGUUCAAACAUUCAACCAAACACAAGAUUUUUCAUUCUUAAACUUGAGGGGCAGCUGGUUCUUCUGCUUCUUCUUCUUGUUUUCUUUCUUUUUCCUUUUUCCUUUCACCUUUAUUUUUUAAGAUAUUUUGAGGAAGAUUGAAACAUGGAAAUGGUGCAUUAGCUUGGAGAAGAUGAUCCAUUGAUAUUGAAGGAUUUUCAACCAUUUCUCUCUUUAUCAAUAAGUUUUUCUUUUCACUUUUUCCAUCAAUGUUUUGUAAGAAAUUGUUAGUUAUUUGUGGAUAUUUCCUGGAUAACUAAUUAUAUUUUGUUAUUGAGGAUUAUUUCAAACCCGAGCUAUGAUUUUCAGUUAAAUUGUGCUUUAUAAUUAUCUUGAUUAAUGUGUUUAAUCCAUUGUGUUAAAUGUUUAUUUUGUUCUUCUUGAUUGUUUAGGUGUACAACUAAAUGGUUAAGUUGUUUCGAUAAUGCUAGUUUGGAAUUAGUAGUACGUAAUAGCUAUUGAUUCUAAAACCUAGUAGCAAUUACAUUUCAAUAGAUUAUGAAGAAUUUUCAAUUGAAUGUAAGUGGAUUAACACUCAAGUUUGUAAACCGAGCUUGCGAGUUUACCAUUAAUUCAAUUCAUCUCUUUUGUCGUAAUGCGUUUGUUAAAUUAAAUUUAGAGAGCUUGUUCUAGGUUGUUUAAUGAAUAGGGUUGAGUAAAGAACUUGUUUUAUUCGACUAACAUGUAAGAAGAGAUUGAGGUAAUUGAGCUUGUAAUUAUUCUCGAAUUGUUGUUAAUCUUGAGAAUGAAAAUUGAUUGUUGUAAUUGACAUGAAAAUCAUUCUCGUGGUGACGAAAUAUCCCCCAAUCACAUUUUCUCGCAUUCAAUCAAGAACUACUUUAUUUAUUUCAGAUUUCAAGUCUUUUCUAGUUUAAAUUUAUCACUUUCCUUAGUUCAACAAACCAAACCCCCCCAUUUAAUCUAUUUCGUCUAUUAUUAUUAAUUUUACUUUUUAGUGUGCAAUUGACAUAAUUGAAUCAAUCUUCUACGGGAAACGACCCUUACUUGCCAUAUUACUAUUUAAAACGACACAUUCAAGUUAAGUAAGGAAAAUUAAUUGGAACGUGAUAUGCAACGUAUCAAUUUUGGCGCCGUGUCGCCGGGGAUUGUUCUAUCAAUUUGUUAAUUGCAAUAUUUUUCUUUUUGUUAUUUUUCUAUUUAUUUUUUUUUCUUUGUCAUUUUGGUUGUGAAUGAGCAAAAAGCCUAUAACACACUACAACCUAAGAUCAAGAAAAGAGGCCGACACAUCGGAGAGUGGAGAAGACAUUUCUCCAACUAGACAUCUAAGGUGAUUGAGCAUUGAAUCCUCAAGUGACUCCGAACACAUAGAGCCUGAAAUGGAGGAUGCAAAUCGGACCUUAAAGGAACUUGUAGCUCUAACUUUUGUUCAACAACCUCUAUGCAUUCAAUAUCCUCAAGUGGAGGUGGGAUUUGAACUAAAGUUCGGGAUGAUUCAUCUACUUCCUAGAUUUCAUGGAUUCGCUGGAGAGGAUCCAAAUAAGCAUUUGAAGGAGUUUCAUGUGGUUUACUCAAGCAUGAAACCUGCGGGUAUAUCGGAAGAGCAAGUGAAAUUGCGGGCAUUCCCUUUUUCUCUUACAGACACUGCUAAGGAAUGGCUCUAUUAUUUGUCGUUCGGUCUUAUUAUCACGUGGAAUGAAAUGCAAAAGAUCUUCUUGGAGAGGUAUUUCCCAACUUCGAAGGCUACAAACAUCAGAAAAGAAAUCUGCAGCAUUCGGCAAUCUCAAGGGAAAAAUCUCUAUGAAUAUUGGGAGAGAUUCAAAAGGCUAUGUGCUAGUUGCCCAAACCACCAAAUCAGUGAGCAAUUACUUCUACAAUACUUCUAUGAAGGAUUGCUCCUGAUGGGGGAAAAUCUCUAUGAAUAUUGGGAGAGAUUCAAAAGGCUAUGUGCUAGUUGCCCAAACCACCAAAUCAGUGAGUAAUUACUUCUACAAUACUUCUAUGAAAGAUUGCUCCUGAUGGAAUAUGAUUGAUGCAGCCAGUGGAGGAGCUUUAAUGGAUAAAACACUGGUAGUUGCUAGGGAUUGAUAGCCAACAUGGCCGCAAACUCACAACAAUUUGGUAGUAGAGAAGCGGUACCGGUUAAACAAGCAAGUAGGUAGGAGCAACCUCUCAAAUUGAAUGACAAUUAGCCGGCCUUACAUCGCUUGUGCAGCAAAUGGCACUUAGGACAAUGCAACAAGCAAAAGUGUGUGGGAUUUGUUCUAUUGUGGGACAUCCUACUGAGGCAUGCCUGACACUACAAGAAGGAGCCUCAGAGCAAGCGAAUGCCAUUGGGAGAUUUCCAAUGCAACAGAGACAGAGAUAUGAUCUAUAUGGGAAACUUUUCGCAAGGUUCAAGUGAACAUACUACUUUUGGAUGCAAUUUAUCAAGUGCCUCGUUAUGCAAAGUUCCUCAAGGAUUUGUGCAUUGACAAGCAUAGAUUGAAAGGUAAUGAAGUGGUAAGUGUAGGGGAAAAUGUCUCAGGGGUCUUGCAAAAGAAACUUUCACCAAAAUGUAAGGACCCUGGAAGUUUUACCAUCCCUUACAUUUAUUGGUAACACUAGGUUUGAAAAGGCAAUGCUAAAUUGAGGAGCAUCUAUUAAUGUCAUGCCAUAUUCUAUUUAUGCUUCCUUAAAUCUAAGAUCACUUAAAAGAAACCGGUGUUAUUAUUCAACUUGCUGAUAGAUUUAACGCAUUUCCGAAGGGUGUGUUGGAGGAUGUUUUGGUGCAGGUAAAUGAAUUGAUUUUUUCGACAGAUUUCUACAUUCUUGACAUGCAAGAUAAACCAAUAUCUUUGUUGCCACCGUUGCUCUUGGGAAGACCAUUUAUGAGGACUGCACGUACAAAGAUAGAUGUGCAUGAUGGUACAUUGACAAUGGAGUUUGAUGGUGAGAUUAUUUGCUUCAACAUCUUUGAAGCAAUGAGGUAUCCUAGUGAUGUUCAUGCUUGUUUUUCAAUUGAUAUAAUAGAUUCAUUAGUACAAAAAGUUUUUGAAUUAUCAAAUGAAGAUGCAUUGGAUACCACUUUGAUUAAAAGCAUUGAUGCUAACAAUCUCACCGGGUUGAGCAAGAAUUUACAAGUGUGCAAGGAUGUUGAAACCGUGGCAUCACUUGAGUCACUACCAAGUAUUCCACUAAGGUAUGAUCUCUCCUAUAUUACUCUUCUGAUAUCUAAAGAGAAACUUUUACCUUUGGUGAUGUAGGCCCCCACUUUGGAACUCAAACCUCUUCCUGAGCAUUUGAAGUAUGUAUAUUUGGGAGAGGAGGAAACACUACCGGUGAUCAUUGCAAAGAAUCUCACAACACUUCAAGAAGAUAGGCUUAUCUGUGUGCUCAAGGAACACAAAAUAGCUAUUGGUUGGACAAUAGCCGAUAUCAAGGGGAUAAGCCCUUCUAUGUGCAUGCACCGGAUAUUGCUCGAAGAUGGAGCAAAGCCAUCAAGAGAAGCACAACGUCGCUUGAAUCCUCCCAUGAUGUAGGUGGUGAAGAAAGAAUUUUUGAAAUUGCUAGACGUUGGUGUCAUCUUUCCCAUCUCCGAUAGCAAGUGGGUAAGCCCGGUCCAAGUUGUUCCAAAAAAGUUUAGAAUCACAGUGGUGACGAAUGAAGAGAAUAAGCUUGUACCAACUCGGGUCCAAACGGGUUGGAGGGUUUGUAUUGAUUAUAGAAAACUUAAUUGUGCAACCCAAAAAGAUCACUUUCCCUUACCCUUUAUUGAUCAAAUGUUGAAAAGAUUAGCAGGCCAUUCUCAUUAAUGUUUUCUUGAUGGUUAUUCAGGUUAUAACCAAAUUGUGAUCGCUCCGGAGGAUCAAGAGAAAACAACAUUCAGUUGCCCGUUUGGCACAUUUGCUUACCGGCGCAUGGCCUUCGGCCUCUAUAAUGCUCCUGCAACCUUUCAAAGAUGCAUGAUAAGUAUAUUCUCCGAUUAUAUUGAUAGCAUCAUUGAGGUCUUUAUGGAUGAUUUUAGUGUUUAUGGUAAUACCUUUGAUAGUUGCCUACAAAAUUUCACACUUUUGCUUAAGAGAUGUAUGGAUGCUAACCUAGUACUUAAUUGGGAAAAAUGUCAUUUUAUGGUUGAUCAAAGCAUAGUGUUAGGCCAUGUCAUUUCUUCCAAGGGGAUAGAAGUUGAUAAAUCUAAAAUUGAUCUAAUUCGUUCUUUACUUCCUCCAACAAGUGUGAGGGAGAUUCGUUCUUUUCUUGGACAUGCAGGAUUUUAUCGAAGAUUUAUCAAGGAUUUUUCUAAAUGUGCAAGACCACUAUAUAGGCUGUUGCAAAAGGAGGCGCCAUUUCACUUUGAUGAAGAUUGUAAAAAGGCAUUCGAAAGCUUGAAGGAACUUUUGACAUCGGCACCCAUCAUUCAACCACCAGAUUGGAACAAACCAUUUGAGUUGAUGUGUGAUGCAAAUGACUUUGCAUUGGGAGCCAUUUUAGGGCAACGAGUUGGAAAGACACCUCAUGUUAUAUAUUAUGCAUCAAGAACUUUUAAUGAUGCCCAACUCAAUUACUCUACUAUUGAAAAAGAGCUUUUAGCAGUUAUUUUUGUCUUAGAAAAAUUUUGUUCAUAUCUUAUUGGCACAAAAGUAACUGUCUUUUCUGAUCAUGUUGCUCUUAAGUACUUGCUUGCCAAGAAAGAGGCAAAACCAAGGCUCAUUAGAUGGAUACUCCUCUUACAAGAGUUCGACCUUGAGAUUAAAGACAAAAAAGAGAGUGAAAAUUCUGUGACCAACCACUUCAAUUGCCUUAUCCAUGAGAAAGAAAGCUUCCCCGAUGAACAAUUGCUUCUCGUCAUGGACACAUCUCCUUGGUUUGCGGAUAUAGUGAACUAUUUAGUCCCUAAGAAAAUUCCAAGUGACUUGACCAUUGCUCAAAGGCAAAAACUCAAGGCGAUGGCCAAAUAUUUUAUGUGGGAUGAGCCGUACUUGUGGAAACACUGUCCGGAUCAAUUGAUAAGAAGGUGCGUGCAUGAAAAUGAAUUUCAUUCAAUACUUACAUUUUGUCACUCUUAUGCAUGUGGUGGACAUUUUGGAGCAAAGAGGACUGCUCUCAAGGUGCUUGAAAGUGGAUUCUAUUGGCCCACCCUAUUCAAAGAUACGUUCUUCUUUUACAAAUCUUGUGAUCGAUGUCAAAGGGUAGGUACGUUGAGAGUCCGAAAUCAAAUGCCACAAACACCCAUACUUUUUGUUGAAAUUUUUUAUGUUUGGGGCAUUGAUUUCAUGGGACCUUUCCCUUUAUCUUAUGGUAACCUUUACAUCAUUCUUGUCGUUGAUUAUGUGUCAAAAUGGGUGGAAGCAAGGGCCACUUGAACUAAUGAUUCUAAAGUGGUUGUAGAUUUUGUUAAAUCCAACAUUUUUGCAAGGUUUGGAACACUAAGAGCUAUUAUUUGCGAUAAAGGACUACAUUUUUGCAACCGUUCCUUUUGGGCCCUUUUGAAAAGAUACAAUAUCACCCAUAAAGUGGCUACACCUUACCAUUCGUAAACUAGUGGGCAAGUCGAAGUGUCUAACCGAGAGGUCAAAUCCAUCCUCGAAAAAACUGUGAAUCCCAAUAGAAAUGAUUGGAGUCUCCACCUCAAUGAUGUACUCUGGGCUUAUAGGACGGCAUACAAAACACCAAUUGGCAUGUUCCCUUAUUGGUUAGUUUAUAGCAAGCCCUUUCAUCUCCCAGUUGAACUCGAACACAAAACAUUUUGGGCAGUCAAGCAAUGCAACAUGAACCUAGGUGCAAUGGGUGAUCAAAGAAAGCUUCAACUCAAUGAACUUGAGGAAAUUCGAAAUGACGCCUAUGAAAGUUCAAUAAUUUACAAGGAAAAAACUAAAGCGUACUAUAAUAAAAUGAUUUCAAGAAAGGCUUUUGUUGUUGGACAAAAAGUCCUUCUUUUCCACUCGCGCCUCAAGUUAUUUCCAGGUAAAUUACGUUCUCGAUGGAUUGGCCCUUUUGUUGUUACUAAUAUCUUUCCUCAUGAUGUAGUAGAAAUCAAAAGCCUUCAGACUGAGAAAGAGUUUAAGGUGAAUGGCAUCAAUUAAAAUCAUAUUUUGAACCCUUCGUACCACAAAACAUGGAGAAAAUGCGAUUGGAGGAUCCAAUCGAAGAAGCAUGAAAGAGGACACUUAUUUUUGUUUUUGUGAAUUUUUGUUGCCAAUGGUCCCCAACCAUCAUCACAGCCAUCAUUGUUAACACCACUAGGGGAGUAUUUGAACAUCUUGCACAUUCAAUUUGUUUUUGCUUUUACAUUGAGGACAAUAUGCAAUUUAAGUUUGGGGGUGAGGUGGUAUGUGCUAAAUUUUUUGUGGAAUUUUGUGGUUUGUGCUAAUUUUGUUCUCACUAAAAACUUAAAAAUUCAGAUUAAACACUUGUUUUUAUGCUUGUUUGUGUUGUUUGAAAGUUUUGCCAAUUGCAUUUUGAGUAUUGCAUUGCAUUGAUUUAUGAAUUGGGAACAUGAAUGCUAAGUGUUGUUUAUUUUCAUCCACUUAUCCCAUGAUAGACUCUUUAUUGAGCACUUGGGUCAUGAGAUUCAUCACAUGCACUUGUUGGUUGCACUUGUAGGUUGUUAAUGAACUUAAAUGACCAUGCUGUUAGAAAUUCUUCAAUUACUCAACCAAUGAAAGGAUAAGUUUAGGGGUGGUUGAACCGGUGAAAGAAAUUAUUUAUAAUUGUAUUAAUUACCUACUCAGUGAUUGAUUUUGUGGAAUGUUCUUAGACUUCAAAUGAAAAGUUAGAUGUUGUUUUCCAUCUAUUGAUAUUUAAAAAAAAAAUCUAUGGGAAAAAGUUGCCUACCCUAAGGAGUGUGAGUCAGCAUUGAGUAAUUUGGCCCUAUGCAUCACCAAUGUGUAGGAGACGAUCUACAAAUGAAGAAGGCUACCCUUAGGGACCAGAGCGAGAACUACCUACAUUGGAAAAAUGAAGAAAAAUAAAAGGGAUGCUAUAAGCAUCUAGGGGUGAUUUUGUUGAAGAAUUGAUGGAUUGUGAGUAAUUUGCCUAACAUGAGUUGUGGUCUAAGCACUCAAAAUUUUUGGUGAAUUAAUACAUGACUAGAUGAUCUAUUUUUUUCGGUUCAAACCAACCAAAUUUGAGAGGGAAAUAUUGAGUGAUUUGAGGGCAACCUUAAGUUUUUGAUACCUUGGGUUAGAGUGAAAAUAUCACAAGUUUGGGGGAGUGUGCAUCCCAUGAGUGAGAAAGGAAAGUUUGACCAUUGAGGGUUGGGAAAAUCACCAAAUUGUGUAUUGCAAUGAAUUGGAAUGACCACACACACACACGAGUCAAGCAUGGUGUAAGUUUAAAAGUGUUUGUUGUAGCAUUUUUGUAAACAUUUCAUAAGUUAUUUACAUAAAUGUAAGAAUUGUAGCAAAGAGUCAAAAUAUCGAACAAUUGGAGUAUUUGUUAUUAUUAUAGUAUUAUCGUUUAGUUUUAAUUUGAGUGUUUGUAUUGCUUUGUUCAAGGACUAACAAAGAUUUAAGUUUGGAGGGUGUGAUAAUGCGGGUUUAUUGCGCUUAUUCGGACCAUUAAACUUAGAUAUUUGCGAAUUUUAUUAGCGAUUUAUUAUUUAAUUUUCUUAUUUUUAUUUGUAUGUGAAAACUCGAGAUUAAACGAUGAAUUGAAGAAAUUUAUGCGAGAAACGAGCUAAAGAUGAAGGAAAAUGAAGAAGACGACCAAAGACGCCACCGAAAGAAGAUUCAAAAAAAUAAUAAUAAUAAAUUCAGCGAGCUCGACCAGCUCGAACAAAAAACAAAAACUGUGGCACCCAGGCGCCACUGUUCCAGUGCCUAGGCGCCACCUGGGCCGUUUUUAAUUGUUUUCAAAGUCUCAGAGACCAAUAUUGCAAUUUCCUUUAGGUUUUAAGUUAAAACAUUCAAUCAAAUACAAGAUUUUUCAUUCUUAAACUUGAGGGGCAGCUGGUUCUUCUUCUUCUUCUUGUUUUCUUUCUUUUUUCUUUUUCCUUUAACCUUUAUUUUUUAAGAUAUUUUGGGGAAGAUUGGAAAAUGGAGAUGGUGCAUUAACUUGGAAAAGAUGACCCAUUGAUAUUGAAGGAUUUUCAACCAUUUCUCUCUUUAUCAAUAAGUUUUUCUUUUCACUUUUUCCAUCAAUGUUUUGUAACAAAUUGUUAGUUAUUUGUGGAUAUUUCCUGGGUAACUAAUUAUAUUUUUUGAUUAUAGAUUAUUUCAAACCCGAGUUAUGAUUUGUUUAAUCCAUUGUGUUAAAUGUUUGUUUUGUUCUUCUUGAUUAUUUAGGUGUACAACUAAAUGGUUAAUUUGUUUCGAUAAUGUUCUUUUGGAAUUAGUAGUACGUGAUAGCUAUUAAUUCUAAAAGCUAGUAGCAAUUACAUUUCGAUAGAUUAUGAAGAAUUUUCAAUUGAAUGUAUGUAGAUUAACGCUCAAGUUUGUAAACCGAGCUUCCGAGUUUACCAUUAAAUCAAUUCAUCUCUUUUGUCGUAAUGCGUUUGUUGAAUUAAAUCUAGAGAGCUUGUUCUAGGUUGUUUAAUGAAUAGGGUUGAGUAAAGAACUUGUUUUAUUCAACUAACAUGUAAGAAGAGAUUGAGGUAAUUGAGAUUGCAAUUAUUCUCGAAUUGUUGUUAAUGUUGAGAACGAAAAAAUAUUGUUGUAAUUGACAUGAAAAUCAUUCUCAUGGUGACGAAAUAUCCCAUAAUCACAUUUUCUCGCAUUCAAUCAAGAACCACUUUGUUUACUUCAGAUUUCAAGUCUUUUUUAGUUUAAAUUUGUCGCUUUCCUUAGUUCAACAAACCAACCCCCCCCCCCAUUUAAUCUAUUUCAUCUAUUAUUAUUAAUUUUACUUUUUAGCAAACCCCCCCCCAUUUAAUAUAUUUCGUAUAUUAUUAUUAAUUUUACUUUUUAGUAUGCAAUUGACAUAAUUGAAUCAAUCAUCUAUCGAAAAUGACCCUUACUUGCCAUAAUACUAUUUAGGACGACACAUUUAAGUUAAGUAAGGAAAAUUAAUUGGAACAUGAUUUGCAACGUAUCAAUUUUGGCGCCGUGUCGCUGGGGAUUGUUCUAUCAAUUUGUUAAUUGCAAUAUUUUUCAUUUUGUUUUUUUUUUUAAUUAUUUGUCAUUUAAGUUGUGAAUGAGCAAAAAACCUAUAACACACUACAACCUAAGAUCAAGAAAAGAGGCUGACACAUCGGAAAGUGGAGAAGACAUUUCUCCAACUAGACAUCUAAUUGAUUUUUCAAAUUGCAAUUUUUGUUCAUUUCAGCAAAACGACACGUAUAUCUCAUACUCUUUAUCUACAUUUUUCAGAGAUUGUCAUACUCCAUAGAAUUUCUAAUUCCAUUGUUUCUGAUCGAGAUUGAAAAUUUUGGUGUCUUUUCUAAUACACUUCUGGAGAAAGAUGCGAACAAAUCUUUGUUUCAUUUCAUUUUACCAUUGCCAAAGUCAUAAUCAUACAGAAGUUGUAUAAUGGGACAAUCUUUUGAGAAGUUAUGUAGGAAAGAAAUACAAUAAUGAGACAUUAUUUUCCCUGAAUUUAAAUUCAUUUAUAAUUAAUUUACUAGCCAAACUACUAAAGAAAGCCCACUUAUAGUUGUUUAUGGCUAAUAUCUCUUUAAGUGCUUUGGACUUGACUCUGCAGCCUGAUACUCAUCAUUUUGGUGGAGAUGCAAAACAAAGUGAUAAGUUCAUUAAGAAAAUGCAUGAUCAAGUUCAAAAGAUGACACGAAAGAAAAAUGAGAAGUACAUGAAGAUUGCAAACAAGCACCACAAAUAUGUUUUGGAUUCAUCUACGAAAAAUAUGGUUUCAUUAAGGAAGCUAUGCUAAACUUCAGUUCAUUUCGAAGUUGACAACUCUUUCAAAGUUCUCCUAAUAAUUUGCAAAAAUGCUUACAAAAUUGAUUUGCCUCCUCUAAAUGUAGCUUAUCUUUCACUAUUCCAUGGUGGAGACAACUUUUAGUUGAUAUCAAGUCUUUUCAACCAAGGAUCACUGACAUAGGAGUGUCAUUGAUUACAAUCUUUGAAGAAGGAUAAGUCAAAGUUCUAUCAUUAGUAUUUUAAUUUUAAAGGACCAAAAGUUUCGGUAAAGUAAAUUCCCAAAUUGAUGCACAGUAAUUUUCAAUGUAAAUCAUGCUAUUUGUACAACUAGUUCAACAAUUGUGAGUUGGCACGGAUCUUGAUCAUUGAUUUGAAAAACUACUUCAAAUUAAUGAUCAGGAUCUUUACACCUCACAUAUUGUCAAACUAGUCGUACAAAUUCAUUAUACAACAAGCUUAAUUCCUCAUUUUGAGUAAUGAUAUUUCUUAGUUGUCGAUAACAAGACGUAUUAAAUGGAGAUAUAUUAGAAAAUUAAGUCAUUAAUUAUACUAUUAACAAGGAAAGAGGCCUAUAAUUUGAGACUAUUACGUAGAAAAUUGGAACUGAAUUAAUGCAAUACCAUUGUGUUGGAGAAAAUACGAGAUUGUAAGUAUAAUAUGAAAUAAAGAAUGCAAGAAAAAUGUAAUUUGCAGAGAAUAGAGAUUUACUACAAUGUGGAGAAAGAAUACAAUUUUUUUGUAUUUACAAUGUUUCUAACUUCUUCUAAAUUAUAAUGAAGAGCCAACUAUGUAUAGGGACAUCCAAAACUUAAUAGUAGAGUGAUGGUUGAAGUAGAAUGCAAGAAAUAACAUUAAAAAUUGAAUAGGAGACAAAACAAAGCCCACUCCCUGUUUUUAUAUACUGAGGCGCCGAUUCCCUAUUUCAAUAUAAAGCUGUCGGCCCCUAGGCCCCUCAUCUCCAUUCCAAACAACUUUGAAGGAUAUUUUUCUUCAUUCCAAAGUCCUUUUCAAGUCUAACACAAAUUUCAACUUUCGGUUAGAUUUUUAAAUAGAACUUUAACUAAAAUUUGUCAAAUAGACUUCAAAUAUAAUUUCUCUUGACGUGCAAAUUUAUUGUCUAUGGUUUUUAAAAAUUUUUGUUGAACCAAAAUUCCUUUCAUUAUUUGUUGCCCAAAUUGAAAAAUCUUAUUUCCCAUUGAAAAAUCCAACAUUUUUAGGAUAGAUCACACAAAGCAAUCCUAAGACCGUAGUAUACACCAUUUUUAGGGCUUCAAAGAUAUGCGAUUUUAGAUCACGGGAAUGUUCAAACGGAUCAAGUCCAGGUGUUCUAACAGGAUAAUCAAUGCAACACGAAUGUAUGUUAACAAAAAAUUCAAAUUCUCACGCAAUGUAGUCUCACAUAGUGACUAUAUGACAGUUAGAGCAGAAAAUUAAUUACUAAUUUGCGAUCAAAUUCAACACUUCAAACAUGACAAAUAACUCCUAAAUUUCAAGUAUAAGCAAUGUUAUCCCUUUACGAUAACCCAAUCCUACUGUCACCCCCACACGAUAACGCACUAAUGAUAAAAUUUAAAUUGAGAUAAGUCAAUAUACCAAAGCGGACCAAUUUGAGUCCAUAAAUUACGAGAGAUGCAAAUUUGUCACUUUAAAACCACUACAAUUCAUCCUAAAGUCUCCAUUAAUUGCAGGUGUUAAUCAGCCACAAUCGACUCCCGAACGCGCGAAGAAUAGAUUUAUCUAGAUUCCACCGUAUAACCUAAAACAGAAAACUAACAACACCAAAAUGUCAAAAAUAAUGUUAGGAACAAGCUGUCUUAAAAGACCUCCGCUUGCAGACACCUCACGCGCCCUCAAGCGCGACCAAGUCAUUCUAUUCGUGGGCCUCAUGUCAUCGUCUAUAACACGCUUGAUAGUUGGCACAUGACCACUGGACGUUACACCAGUGGUCUCUGUUUCACGACCACUAGAUUGGGCAAAAAUUGCACUAAUAGAUCCGAUUUUUACACAGUUUUCUAGCAAUUUUUCGAUUGUUUUUUGGCUCAUUUUUGCCUAUUUCCUGGAUUUUUUUGGUAUGUUUCACAAGCCAAAUCCACCAUCUUGAAAUUCUGAUACCAAUUGUCACAAAAGCUUGCUCUAAGAAUCGUCAAAAUGGCAUUUUUCGAGUUCAGUUUAACGUUACUUUUCUCUACAAAACAGUCAAUCCAAUCGGCUUCAAUUCACAACAUAUAUAUUCACUUCGAUUGCUUCUUAAUCUCACCCACAAAGGACAAGAUAAUGAUAAUGAUAAUGAUUUGUCACCACAACGGCAAGAAGAAAACACCACAAAGGAGGCAAGGAAGAGAUCAAAAUCAAGGAGCUAACCAUUGGUUUUUUUGACACACAAAGGCAACUUACUUUUCUCUCAAUGGGCAGCCACAUUUUCUUCACUUUUCUUGGACAAAUCAUACUACAAAACGGCUAGGGUUAGGACCAUAUAAAAAGGGUUAGGUUAGACUUUUAGUUAGACCAAUAACAAAGCUAAAGGGGCCAAGAUUCAAAACCAUCCAAGAGGAAACAUAAAUGGGCAGGGUAGAGCUUUUGGACUUGGUUGUUGGUACUUAUUUCACUCAUCAUUCAAGGCCUAUGAAAUAUAUAUUCCCAUGUUAACAUCAUAGCCUGAAAUUUAUUGGGUAUCAAAACACAACCCUUAGUGCAUAUCUCAAUUUGAUGAAAACUUAAAGAAGACAACAAAAAUUAUUUUACAAUAUACUCAUUCCAAGUUUAUUAAAAUGUUAAACAUAAUACUUGUAAUUAAAGAUGGACAUAAAUGGACAAUGUAGUUUCCAAGCAGAGACUACAGUUUAUUUAAUUAAAGCAAGAUUAAUGCAGUCUCCAAGCAGAGAUCUACGUUUUAUUUAAUUAAAGCCAAUUUAAUGUCACAAAACAGAGUUCAUUAAUUCAACCAACUACUUAGAUAGAUAAGUAAUUUAUUCUCCAGCUUUUGCAGCAAUGCAUCAAGCGAUUACUAUCUCCUUGAUGAAAGGCUCUUCCACUGUUGCACCAGUCAUCACCUCCUCAGUUCCAGAGUGCAAUUCUUGAGGGGAAGUUUAGUACAAAACAUAAGGAAGCUUUUUGUCUUGCCAGAUUCAAUCUACAAGGCAACAUAUCAUUAAGUUUAUGUUCACAUAAACUUAAUGUGGUUUGAUUUGUUUUGUUUGAUAUGUUGAAGGUGUAAGAUGAUUAAGAACUGAGUGUUGCUUGAUUUGUUUUGUUCCAAAAGGGAACUAUUAGGAUAUUUGGUGUUAACGGUGAAUAGUAAACGUAGGGUCUAUAACUUUACUUGGUGUAAGAUGAUUAAGAACCAAGUGUCGUUUGAUUUUUUUUGUUUCGAUGCUAAAAGAUAAGUCUCUGUAACUUUAUCUCUAUAAUUUGAACAUUUUGUAUGGUUGUCAUUUUGAAUAUUAAAUGAUGAGCAGGUACAUAGCUUUCAAAAGGUCUUUCAAUAUAUUUGUAUAAUUGAGACAGCUGUAAAUAUUUUUCAACAAUAUUUUUAUAUAGAUGUAUAUCCCAUGUUAUCUAAAUUAGAUUCCAUAUUUUUUAAACUUAUAAUUGCACUAAUGGUCCUCAAAUCUUCUAUGAAAAUCUAAACACAACAAUCACAAGUGAACCAAAAUUGUCAUAUUAAUAAUUAUUGGAUAAGGUACCGAUACUUUUAAAAAGUCACAACCACAUCUUUAUAUCAAUGAGUGUCACAUGUUAUCUAAAUUUUGGAUUAGACAUUUCCUAAACAAAUUUGAACUAACUACAGAAGUGUUACCAUCUUGUUGAGAAUAUAUGAAUUCAAGACUAUCAUUUUAAUCAUGACACUUAUCCUUUCCGUCACUUGUAGUACAAUUUCACCAUAAAAAAUGUUAGCGAAUUAUUCACUUCUAAUUAAAUGUAAGAAAAGAAAUAAACAACGUAAAGAUUUUUUUAUUUAUCUAAAAUAAUAAAAUGAUAAAAAGAAAAAGAAUUUCCCUUUCAUCUUCAUCUCUCUAAAACCAUUACAGCUGAAAUGCAGAACAAGGACCGUCUCUCUUUCUCUGGCUUAAACUAUCCUCUCUUGCCAUAUUUCCCACACUCUAUAUUCUCAAAGCACUAAUUCCACUUGGCCAUUUCCCCAAACCCAAACCUUGUUGAUCAAUAUUCAAUCUUGUAGUAGGGUAAUUGCUAUGUCCACAAGUAAAUCAGUCAUCUGAACAUCUACCAAGAAAAAACAUCGAAUUUACACAGUGGAAUAAGUUGGGAUAUAAGCAAAUAACUCUUAAACUAGAGAAUUAUAUCAAAAUCGCUUUUGAAAUCAUUGAUUAAUUGGUGUCAUGUCUACCCAUAAACAUAACAAUUUUAAUGGUUUGGUUUUGGUCUCGAUACUUUAAUUGCAGUUGGAAACUGAACAUGAUUGAUUAAAUUUUUUCAAACAAAGUAAAUAUAAAUAUAAUUUAUUUAUUUUUUUCAACAUUGGUCUAAAUUGAACAUGGAUUGGAUCAAAAAAUUACCAUCUUGACCUCCAAAAAAUAUGAAUAUUAAAAAUUUAUUUUAAAUAUAGGUAAUUGAAGGUUAUAAAACCAUUAGGUGUGGGUUUGAUGUUUUUCAAAUGCAAUUAUAUUAUUAUUUCGAAUUUUGUUAGUCACACCCCGAUUUUAAGUUUUUUUUUUCUUUUUUAUUUACUUAAAUAAACUUAAGUAAAAUUAGAUAAAUAUGGUUUUAAUAUAUUUAUAAUGUAAAAUAAUUUAUUGUUAAACCACAAUCAUAAAUCUAAUUUUCUUUCUUUCUUUUCCCUCAAUAGCCGUGCCAUAGCUUUUCCGUCGGUGGCCUUUGCGUUCUAUCACGAUAGAAAAUAAUUUUGUUUUUACUCUGACUUUAUACAUGUUUGGGCAGCUAAGACAGGUUACUAUUUCAAUCUCUCAGGGCCAUCUUCUCUGGUGAUGUUGUUAUACUUUUGCUGUUCGCGCUGAUUCAGAUUUGUGGAUUCACAUUUCCACAUUUUGGAUCCAUCUUCAAUCAUCGAGUUCUUUAGGCCGUCUAAUUGAGUGCUGAUAAUCUUGUUUUUAUAUAUUUCAGAUUCUGUUUCCUCUAGGAAGGAUAUUUGUAACAAUUUUCAAAUGUUUGUGGUUACAUCAUUUAUAACACCUAUAAUUGGAGCAAAUGAAGCCAAAGCAGCAGAUUUAAUGUAAGCAAGUAAACAUGGAUUAUUUAACCAGUCUUGAAUUCUUACGUUAAAGAGGAAGAUGACGUCUAGUUUGAGGCUUUCCACCAAGUGUGUAUCAGUGUAUCUGUACAUCACUUGUAUUACAAUUUCACCAUAAAAUUAAAAAUUAAAAAUUAAAAAUUAAAAAAUCGUGCAUUACUCACUCCUAAUAUAAAUGUAAGAAACGAAGGAAACAACAUAAAGACUUCUUCUUCAUCUAAAAUAACAAAAUGAUAAAAGGAAAAGAAUUUUGUUUUCAUCUUCAUUUCUCUAAAACAAUUGCAACAGAAAUGUAGAACCAAAACCCUGUCUCGCCAUAUUUCCACCCACUAUAUUCUCAAAAUACUAAUUCCAUUUUUCCAUUUCCCCAAAACCCCAAACCUUAUUGAUGAAUUUUAAAUCUUUAUAGUAGGGUGGUUGUUUUGUCCACAUGUAAAUCAAUCAUCUGAACAUAUACAACUAAAGAAAUGACAUCAAAUUUAUGCAGUAGAAUAAGUAGCGCUAUAAGCAAAAAAAACUCUUAAACUAGAGAACUGCAUCAAAAUUGCUUUUUAAAUAAUCGGUUAAUUGAUGUUGCUUCUACCCAUAAACAUAACAACUUUAAUGAUUUUGUUUGGGCUUCUAUAUUUUAAUUGUAGUUGGAAACUCAACAUGAUUGAUUAAAAAUUUUAAAUAAAGUAAAUACAAAUAUUUUUUUUUUUCAAAAUUUGUCUAAAUUGAACAUGACAUUUUUUUAUCUAAAUCGAAGUCAACAAAAAGUGAUUUGAAAUUCAAACAACAAAUGGAUGUUAGGGCUGAACAACUUCACCUAUUGGUCACCUUUACUUCUAAUAUUAAGAUUCAUACAAUAUAAAGUAUUAUUCGGUUGAAUUCUUCUAUUGUAUUCAAUUUACCCCUCUCGAGUUCUCAUUGAGCCUAUUUAAAUACCUCAAUUCCAUAUCUCUAUGCGAAUUAAACUUAGUUAAACGCACUAAUAGUUCUAAUAAUUCAUUUAUGACCGCAGCAAUUAAUAUAGGCAAACUACACGUUAUAUUAAUUCAACAGAUUUUAAUAUGUGGUCUAAACAAGAAUCUGCAUCUCUAUGCAAUUAUUAUUCACGAAAUCAUUGAGCAACUGGCCAGAAAAUUCAAUGCAUUGAGAAUAUGAUUAAAAUCCACACAUGUAAUUAUAACGAACAAGAAUAUCAAACUAAAGAAAUAAAGGUUCUCAAAUCAGCUACAUUGUUCACCCUAAAAGUAGAUUAGCUACUCAUAGCAAUGAAAUAAAAAUAUGAAGUUCUUAUGAAAGACAUCAUUGGGUUUUGAGUAAGAAUGUAGAAUAAGAAAUCAAUCUUGCACCAAGACCUUCUUCCCUUUCCAAUUUAUGCUUCAACCCUUGAAUAGCUUGUUGUUUUGUUCUCUUCAAUUCUUCUCUUUAAUCUCCAAGUGUGCCUCUUCCUCUCAAUAUGUGAAUCCUCCCUCAAGUUUGAGAAAAAUUGUUUUUAUAUGUGCCUUGUUGUGUGUAAAAGGUAGGAUUUUCAUCAGGACUCCAAAGUGGGCCACAAUUUCGCUUAGGUUACGUAUUGGUGGAGUCGCGGCGCUUGGAAUGCGAUGCUGCAGCGUCGUGUCAAGAAUAAGUGGUGGCACUACAGCGCUAUGGAGUGGCACCACCUCUCUGAUUCUCCAGGCACUGUAGUGCCGGCACCACUUUUCGGACAAACAGCACCUCGUUCAGUAUUUUUAUCAUAAUUUUCUUUCCCAAUAUCCGAUUGAGGCAAUUCAAGUUUUAUUGGAAAUCUAACUCAAAGGGAUACGACUUUGCUUUGGACAUCAUUCUCUAGUUUGAUUGUUUGCUACGUCUGAAUGUGAGAUUGAAAUUCCGAAGCAUAACUUUUUGGUUGGAAAUUGAUUCAUAAUCAUAUUUUGCCUAAAUUUGAUCCCUUUGACAUCUUUCUUCAUCCAAUUGACUCCAAGCACUCUUGAAUCUUCAUCAUGAGGUACAACACAACUUUUGAUUAUUUGCACUUUAGUCCUCGAACUUUGGAUCUCUUACAACUUAACCAUUUUCUCCAAUUUUGCCCACUUUUGCUUCUUCCUUCAAUUUCUUGUACCGUCAUUGAAUUUUACCUAUUCGAGAAAAAAUGUAAUAAUUUAAACCAUAAUUCAUUUGAGAAACAAUUAAAUAUCAUCGUUUUAAANNNNNNNNNNNNNNNNNNNNNNNNNNNNNNNNNNNNNNNNNNNNNNNNNNNNNNNNNNNNNNNNNNNNNNNNNNNNNNNNNNNNNNNNNNNNNNNNNNNNNNNNNNNNNNNNNNNNNNNNNNNNNNNNNNNNNNNNNNNNNNNNNNNNNNNNNNNNNNNNNNNNNNNNNNNNNNNNNNNNNNNNNNNNNNNNNNNNNNNNNNNNNNNNNNNNNNNNNNNNNNNNNNNNNNNNNNNNNNNNNNNNNNNNNNNNNNNNNNNNNNNNNNNNNNNNNNNNNNNNNNNNNNNNNNNNNNNNNNNNNNNNNNNNNNNNNNNNNNNNNNNNNNNNNNNNNNNNNNNNNNNNNNNNNNNNNNNNNNNNNNNNNNNNNNNNNNNNNNNNNNNNNNNNNNNNNNNNNNNNNNNNNNNNNNNNNNNNNNNNNNNNNNNNNNNNNNNNNNNNNNNNNNNNNNNNNNNNNNNNNNNNNNNNNNNNNNNNNNNNNNNNNNNNNNNNNNNNNNNNNNNNNNNNNNNNNNNNNNNNNNNNNNNNNNNNNNNNNNNNNNNNNNNNNNNNNNNNNNNNNNNNNNNNNNNNNNNNNNNNNNNNNNNNNNNNNNNNNNNNNNNNNNNNNNNNNNNNNNNNNNNNNNNNNNNNNNNNNNNNNNNNNNNNNNNNNNNNNNNNNNNNNNNNNNNNNNNNNNNNNNNNNNNNNNNNNNNNNNNNNNNNNNNNNNNNNNNNNNNNNNNNNNNNNNNNNNNNNNNNNNNNNNNNNNNNNNNNNNNNNNNNNNNNNNNNNNNNNNNNNNNNNNNNNNNNNNNNNNNNNNNNNNNNNNNNNNNNNNNNNNNNNNNNNNNNNNNNNNNNNNNNNNNNNNNNNNNNNNNNNNNNNNNNNNNNNNNNNNNNNNNNNNNNNNNNNNNNNNNNNNNNNNNNNNNNNNNNNNNNNNNNNNNNNNNNNNNNNNNNNNNNNNNNNNNNNNNNNNNNNNNNNNNNNNNNNNNNNNNNNNNNNNNNNNNNNNNNNNNNNNNNNNNNNNNNNNNNNNNNNNNNNNNNNNNNNNNNNNNNNNNNNNNNNNNNNNNNNNNNNNNNNNNNNNNNNNNNNNNNNNNNNNNNNNNNNNNNNNNNNNNNNNNNNNNNNNNNNNNNNNNNNNNNNNNNNNNNNNNNNNNNNNNNNNNNNNNNNNNNNNNNNNNNNNNNNNNNNNNNNNNNNNNNNNNNNNNNNNNNNNNNNNNNNNNNNNNNNNNNNNNNNNNNNNNNNNNNNNNNNNNNNNNNNNNNNNNNNNNNNNNNNNNNNNNNNNNNNNNNNNNNNNNNNNNNNNNNNNNNNNNNNNNNNNNNNNNNNNNNNNNNNNNNNNNNNNNNNNNNNNNNNNNNNNNNNNNNNNNNNNNNNNNNNNNNNNNNNNNNNNNNNNNNNNNNNNNNNNNNNNNNNNNNNNNNNNNNNNNNNNNNNNNNNNNNNNNNNNNNNNNNNNNNNNNNNNNNNNNNNNNNNNNNNNNNNNNNNNNNNNNNNNNNNNNNNNNNNNNNNNNNNNNNNNNNNNNNNNNNNNNNNNNNNNNNNNNNNNNNNNNNNNNNNNNNNNNNNNNNNNNNNNNNNNNNNNNNNNNNNNNNNNNNNNNNNNNNNNNNNNNNNNNNNNNNNNNNNNNNNNNNNNNNNNNNNNNNNNNNNNNNNNNNNNNNNNNNNNNNNNNNNNNNNNNNNNNNNNNNNNNNNNNNNNNNNNNNNNNNNNNNNNNNNNNNNNNNNNNNNNNNNNNNNNNNNNNNNNNNNNNNNNNNNNNNNNNNNNNNNNNNNNNNNNNNNNNNNNNNNNNNNNNNNNNNNNNNNNNNNNNNNNNNNNNNNNNNNNNNNNNNNNNNNNNNNNNNNNNNNNNNNNNNNNNNNNNNNNNNNNNNNNNNNNNNNNNNNNNNNNNNNNNNNNNNNNNNNNNNNNNNNNNNNNNNNNNNNNNNNNNNNNNNNNNNNNNNNNNNNNNNNNNNNNNNNNNNNNNNNNNNNNNNNNNNNNNNNNNNNNNNNNNNNNNNNNNNNNNNNNNNNNNNNNNNNNNNNNNNNNNNNNNNNNNNNNNNNNNNNNNNNNNNNNNNNNNNNNNNNNNNNNNNNNNNNNNNNNNNNNNNNNNNNNNNNNNNNNNNNNNNNNNNNNNNNNNNNNNNNNNNNNNNNNNNNNNNNNNNNNNNNNNNNNNNNNNNNNNNNNNNNNNNNNNNNNNNNNNNNNNNNNNNNNNNNNNNNNNNNNNNNNNNNNNNNNNNNNNNNNNNNNNNNNNNNNNNNNNNNNNNNNNNNNNNNNNNNNNNNNNNNNNNNNNNNNNNNNNNNNNNNNNNNNNNNNNNNNNNNNNNNNNNNNNNNNNNNNNNNNNNNNNNNNNNNNNNNNNNNNNNNNNNNNNNNNNNNNNNNNNNNNNNNNNNNNNNNNNNNNNNNNNNNNNNNNNNNNNNNNNNNNNNNNNNNNNNNNNNNNNNNNNNNNNNNNNNNNNNNNNNNNNNNNNNNNNNNNNNNNNNNNNNNNNNNNNNNNNNNNNNNNNNNNNNNNNNNNNNNNNNNNNNNNNNNNNNNNNNNNNNNNNNNNNNNNNNNNNNNNNNNNNNNNNNNNNNNNNNNNNNNNNNNNNNNNNNNNNNNNNNNNNNNNNNNNNNNNNNNNNNNNNNNNNNNNNNNNNNNNNNNNNNNNNNNNNNNNNNNNNNNNNNNNNNNNNNNNNNNNNNNNNNNNNNNNNNNNNNNNNNNNNNNNNNNNNNNNNNNNNNNNNNNNNNNNNNNNNNNNNNNNNNNNNNNNNNNNNNNNNNNNNNNNNNNNNNNNNNNNNNNNNNNNNNNNNNNNNNNNNNNNNNNNNNNNNNNNNNNNNNNNNNNNNNNNNNNNNNNNNNNNNNNNNNNNNNNNNNNNNNNNNNNNNNNNNNNNNNNNNNNNNNNNNNNNNNNNNNNNNNNNNNNNNNNNNNNNNNNNNNNNNNNNNNNNNNNNNNNNNNNNNNNNNNNNNNNNNNNNNNNNNNNNNNNNNNNNNNNNNNNNNNNNNNNNNNNNNNNNNNNNNNNNNNNNNNNNNNNNNNNNNNNNNNNNNNNNNNNNNNNNNNNNNNNNNNNNNNNNNNNNNNNNNNNNNNNNNNNNNNNNNNNNNNNNNNNNNNNNNNNNNNNNNNNNNNNNNNNNNNNNNNNNNNNNNNNNNNNNNNNNNNNNNNNNNNNNNNNNNNNNNNNNNNNNNNNNNNNNNNNNNNNNNNNNNNNNNNNNNNNNNNNNNNNNNNNNNNNNNNNNNNNNNNNNNNNNNNNNNNNNNNNNNNNNNNNNNNNNNNNNNNNNNNNNNNNNNNNNNNNNNNNNNNNNNNNNNNNNNNNNNNNNNNNNNNNNNNNNNNNNNNNNNNNNNNNNNNNNNNNNNNNNNNNNNNNNNNNNNNNNNNNNNNNNNNNNNNNNNNNNNNNNNNNNNNNNNNNNNNNNNNNNNNNNNNNNNNNNNNNNNNNNNNNNNNNNNNNNNNNNNNNNNNNNNNNNNNNNNNNNNNNNNNNNNNNNNNNNNNNNNNNNNNNNNNNNNNNNNNNNNNNNNNNNNNNNNNNNNNNNNNNNNNNNNNNNNNNNNNNNNNNNNNNNNNNNNNNNNNNNNNNNNNNNNNNNNNNNNNNNNNNNNNNNNNNNNNNNNNNNNNNNNNNNNNNNNNNNNNNNNNNNNNNNNNNNNNNNNNNNNNNNNNNNNNNNNNNNNNNNNNNNNNNNNNNNNNNNNNNNNNNNNNNNNNNNNNNNNNNNNNNNNNNNNNNNNNNNNNNNNNNAUCUCUACACGUUAUAUUAAUUUAUCGGAUUUUAAUAUGUGGUCUAAACAAGAAUUCGCGUCUCUAUGUAAUUAUUGAUCAUGAAAUCAUUGAAUAAUAGGCUUGAAAAUUCAAAGUAUUGAGAAUAUGAUUAAAAUUCACACAUGUAAUUAUGACGAACAAGAAUAUCAAAUUAAAGAAAUAAAGGUUCCCAAAUCAGUUACAUUGUUCACCCUAAAAUUAUAUUAGCUACUCAUAGCAAUGAAAGAAACACAUGAAGUUAUUAUGAAAGAUAUCACCGGGUUUUGAAUAAGAAUGUAGAAUAAGAAAUCAAUCUUGCACCAAGAUCUUCUUCCCUUUCCAAUUUAUGCUUCAACCCUUGAAUUGCUUGUUGUUUUGUUCUCUUUAAUUUUUCUCUUUAAUCUCCAAAUGUGUCUCUUCCUCUUAAUAUGUGAAUCCUCCCUCAAGUAUGAGAAAAUUUGCUUUUAUAUGUGCUUGCUGUGUGUAGAAGGUAGGAUUUUCAUCAGGACUCCAAAGUGGGCCAAAAUUUUGCUUAGUUUACGAAUUGGUGAAUGCAGUGCCGCAUCAAGAAUAAGUGGUGGUGCUGCGACGCCACUUCGCUACUUUUCGAACAGACAUCACCUCAUUCAGUAUUUUUAUCAUAACUUUCUCUUCUGAUAUCCGACUGAGACGAUUCAAGUUUUGUUGGAAAGAUAACUCAAAAAACUACAACUUUUCUUCAGACAUCAUUCUCUAAUUCAAUCGCUAUGCUAAAAAUGGGUCUCAAUGUGAGAUUGAAAUUCUGGAGCGUAACUUUUCGGUUGUAAAUUGAUUUAGGAUCAUAUUUUACCUAAAUUUGAUCCAUUUAACAUUUUUCUUCAUCCAAUUGACUCCGAACACUCUUGAACUUCAUCAUGAGGUCCAACACAACUUUUGAGUAUUUACACUUUAGUCCGCAAACUUUGGAUCUCUUACAACUUAGCCAUUUUCUCCAAUUUUGCCCACUUUUGCUUCUUCUUUCAAUUCCUUGUACCGUCAUUGAAUUUUACCUAUUCAACACAAAAUGUAAUAAUUUAGAAAAUAAUUCAUUUGAAAAGCAACUAAAUAUCAUCCUUUUAAAGGUUUGAAUAAGUGUAUAAAAUACACUUAUCAGUAGUACAAAGUGCAAGAAUAGAAUGAAGAUUUGUUGUUUUUUUUUUUUUUUUUUUUUUGGAUGAUCGUGGGUAUUCAAACCAACUUACGUGCACCUUGACUAAUUCCACGGGACCCUGAAAUUUACAGUCGGGUACUCAUUUUAGUAGUUCUAAGGGAAUUCGAACUAGUGACUAUUAAUAAAUAUAUUCAAAGCCCAACCACUGAGCUACCCCUCAGAGUUAAACAAGGAGGGAUUUGUAUUAGAGAUAUUUGCAUCAAGGUGGAUUACAAUAUAUUAUUUUACAACAGUGUCUGAUAUUAUACCAUACCAGAAAAAUAUUCAUAUAUUAAAAAAAUUAUAACAAUAUUUUAUUUAUAAAUACUUUUCUUGUAAUAAAUAUUCAUUUUUUUCCCUUUUACGUUUGAUAAACUUUUAUGUCAUUCUUUAGUUUUCAGUUAUUUUCUAUUUUUUAACCGAAUGUUUUAUUUACAAGGGGAAUUUUUUCUCAUAGUAUAUUUUUACUUUUCAUAUGAUUGCAUAAUUGAGACAAAUGAAAAAUAAAAAAUAAAUAAAUCAUAUCUUUAUUUCAUUGAGUAUGACAUGUUAUCUAAAUUCUUGAUUAGGCCCUUGUACCCCAUUUUUCUUCCGAAAAAAAAAUUAUUAUUUUUCAAAAGAUAGGUCGUUCCCUUUUUAUUUUAUUUUUUUUAUGAUGAAAUGUCGAAGCCUUUCUAUCACACUAGGGAAUUUAAUUUUCAAAUUAUGCUUCUAUUUUGUAGAAAUUAAAAUUAAGAUUUUAAUCUGAAUCAAAGUCAACAAUUGAUUUUAACCACAUAUUUUAUGGGUUUCACAACUUUUCAAUAAUACAUUUAUCAUCUUUUAUUAAAAUCUAAUUUUAAUAUCAGACAGGGAUCAAAAUUGUGCAUUUUGUAUUAAAUCCCAUUUUGCAUCUAAUGAAAGUAAAUUAUGUGAACCGUAAAGGGUAAAAUUGACAAUUUGGAUGAGCUAUUUAUGUAUCCUACUCAACCUACUGUAAAUUUUGUCGGCCUCAUUUUUUUACUUCUAAAGUCAGCAUCAUAUCCUACGGCCUAAUUUGUACCACAAUUGGUCUCCCAAGUCUUUUGCCUAAAUAAAUAUAUACACUACAAUCACAAGUGAACAGAAAUUAUAAUAAGUGAAGUAAUGUCAAAUUUGGAUUUUACCCUUUGUUCAAGUGAGGUUUUACAAGUGUUGAGUACCAUAAUUACCAUAAAUGUAAAAAUUUUUAAACCUUCAUGAAUUACUGAAUAAAUGUUAGAAAAGAAACUAAACAAUAUAGAAACUUUUUGUUCAUCUAAAAUAAUAAAAUAAGAAAGGAAAUUAUUUAUGUUAUAGAUAUAUUAUAUAUAAGAAGCAUGAUUCCUAAAUGUUUAUAAAUAAAAUAGAAUUAAGUGGUGGAUAAGUAGAUUUUACUUAUAGGUACGAAGAAUUCAAUCAAGAAGCUAGCAGAUCAGCAUAAAAUAAAGUUAAGGCACGAAUACCACCAUCUAUUCAAGAAUGACUGAAUAAUAUUCUUCCAUAUUAAUGUUUUAUAUUGUUACUUCUAUAAGAAAAAUAAUACAAUAAUCUUUUAUAAUAUUUUUACGAAAUAAUAAAUUUCAUUCAAGAAAACACAUCUUUCAAUUAGUACAUAUAAAAUAAAAUUUAAUGCUUUGUUAUACAAUUCCAAAUUAAGAGAAUACUCGUAUUUUCUUUGAAGAAAAAGUGUUUCUUUAUGAGCUCAAUUGAUAAAAUUUUGUGUCUUUCUUUCAACAUAAGAGAAAUUGUUUUUUUCUACCUUAACUUGAUUAGAGAUUUAUAAGCAAAAAGAUGAAUAAGUUUCACUAAUUUAGUUGACUAAAAGGGGAACACAUUAAGCUAAUGUUUAAUUUCAAUAAAUAUCACAUUUUCGUAGAUUUUGAUAAAAAUUGAUGGUAUGAGAGGUGGGAAAGUUAUGGAUCACAUGAAAUGAAUGGUUAUAAUUAAUUAUUGAGUUUGAUUUAGAUUUUAAUGCACUUUUUGUUAGAUGGGGCGGGACUAAAUUAGUUCGAAGAUUUGGUACUUGAUGCUAGUGUUGAUCUCAAUUUGAUAAAAACUUAGAGAAGACAACAAAAAUUAUUUCACAAUAUACUCAUUCCAAGUUUAAUAAAGUAUACAACACGAUACCGGUAAAUAAAGAUGGCUACAUUUUCACGAUGUAGUCCCCAAGCAAAAACUACAGUUUAUUUAAUUAAAGCCAGUUUAAUGUAGUCUCCAAGUAGAGAUCUACAGUUUAUUUAGCUCAACCAGCUUCACAGAUAGAUAAGUAAUUUAUUUGCCUGCUGUUGCAGCAAAGCAUCAAGCGGUUACUAUUUCCUUAAUGAAAGGCUCUUCGUUUGGGCAAAUUUUUCCGCAUGAACACCGGCCGUUAAAGGCUGAGCAGCAUCCUCCUGGAUAAUUCUGAAGCUUGCAGUAUUGUAUACAAAGUUCCACGUCACAAUGUCGACCUCGAGCAUCCUCCACAAGAGGACGACUCGUAAUACGUGGACAAGCUGCUGUGCAACGACACGGACCAAAUGGUCCUGGGCAGCAUGCUGGCUUACCAAAAUGUGCGCAAUAUUUUCUACAAAGAUUCCAGUUACAUCGUUUAGCAUCCACCACAAGAGGACCACUCAUAUCUGUUUAAAACAAGGAAAGAGUAUAAGAUACACAAACACAGUUUAAAAUAUAAUACAGUCCAAAGUAGACAAAUACGAAUGCUUUGCUAGCUUGCUAUGAAAAUUAAAGUUGUUCUGAUUAUUUCAAAUUUCGUAAAUUAACAUGUAUAUAGUAUGUAACAAGCUAUGGAGUUGAAUAAAUUACGAACCAGACGACAGGGAAACCAACAGUAGGAGGGACACUAUUGCAAAUGACCUCACAGAGAACUCCAUAAUUGAGAAAGAGAGAGAGAUAAU